rnacentral:lncRNA from 1 species
AUGAAGAAGGACCACCAUCCAAACCUGGCCCUGUUCCCGUUGAACUUGAAGCAACAUCCCAAGGCUCAAUUGGGUCAGUCCUAACAUAUUCAACCUCUUCAUAGUUUUGUCCACCAUUAGAAGUUUUUUCUGACAUUUGAAUCCCCUCCAGCUCUGCCGUGACCUCUCUCAUUGUAGGGCGCUUUCUUCCACUCAAAUUCAAACAUCUUCUUGCAAGGUUAGCAACUAAUAUGAUAUCUGCUUUAGACCCUCCUUUUACAACUUCAGCAUCAAGAAUUUCGAACAGGCGAUCUAACUGCAUCGAAGUAAUGAAGUAUGUGGCAAGACUUUUGCCUUCUUCUUGUGACCUUCUAAAAGAAAUUGGUUUUUGCCCUGUCAAGAGCUCAACAAGGACAACUCCAAAGCUAUACACGUCACUUUUCUCCGUAAAUUGGCUUGAUUGAAAGUAUUCGGGGUCCAAGUAACCAAAUGUGCCGUGUACAAGUGUGGUGAGGUGAGUUUGGUCAAUGGCAACUGAUCUUGAAGUUCCGAAGUCAGCAAUUUUUGCUCUGUAUUUUGCAUCCAAGAGUAUGUUGGUAGACUUGAUGUCUCUGUGAUAAAUGGGAAAGGCAGCUGAAACAUGUAAGUAGGAAAGAGCUCCUGCAACUUCCAUGGCAAUUCGUAAGCGAACUUCCCAUGUAAGUGGAAACUCCUCAUUCUGCUCAUGGAUAUACUGGGAAAGGUUUCCGUUAGGUAUAAAUUCAUAAACUAAAAUGGGAACCUCCGUCUCCAAACAACAACCCAAUAGUUGAACGACAUUUCUGUGGUUGAUUUGUGAAAGAAUGACAACCUCAUUGAUGAAAUCUGAAAGUUGGCUUUCAUCCACUAUUUUAGAUUUUUUCACAGCAACAAUUCUUCCAUCAGUCAGCAUGCCUUUGUAAACGGUACCUUGGCCUCCCUGGCCAAGAAUUCUAUCAGUAUUGAAAUUGUCAGUGGACUUCUCCAACUCCUUCGAUUUGAAUAGCUUGAUUUUCUCAACAUUAACUUCACCAGACGACAAUUGUUUCUCUAAUAAUAAUCCACCAUUUCGCUUGAAGAACAUCUCCCUGCGUUUCAUGGUAUGGCGUUUCUUUAGGAAUCUGUAUCCCCACCAUGCACCGAUAAGCAAAAGUAACAGUCCAAGACCCGCACCAAGACCUGCAAUAUAUAACUCAGUAAAAUGAUAAAUGAUCACAAAUCGCAAACCAAGUUUAUGUCUUGUGCCCAUAAAAUAAAAUAAAAUAAACUGUUGAUGGCAAUAUACAAAAGAGUUUUAUGUCUAAAAUUCCUCUUGACACUUAGGCCUUGGUCUUUAUUUUCUUAGUCAAGAACUUUGGGCUCUGUGAUAUUUGUAAAGUUAUAAAAUUUAUUUGGGUUCUAGGAUUGUCCUUUUUGGAUAUCCGAUUUACUCCAUAAAAGAAAAAACUGCAGAGACCUCUAAUAUAGUGAACAGUGAAGAAUGACCAAUCUAGCUCUCCCCGUAACUUUAUUUAUGAAAUAUCCUUCUUCUUUUUUUAUAGAAAAAGCAGCAGUAUUUUAUUAGGAUGAUAUAUUGCGUACCUAUAAUAACGAUCAAUUUAGUUUUCUUUUUGUCAUGGCAAAGAAAGGAACCAGGAAUGUUCACACAGUGGCUGUGCGGCCCGCACCGAUCAUGACCAAUUAUGCAUUCAUCAAUAUCUGAAACAUAAUUUAGAAAGAAAAAAAAAACAGAAAAGGUAAAUUAGCAAUACAAUAAGAAUACUAUUUGCACAAUAUCUUAUCACUAUGCAGAUCACCCUCUCUAAUACGGUUUGGACCCCAUAAAUGUAUGAGAGACUCAUUAAUAUUAAAGAAAUAGUAAGAAUACAAAUAACAUUUGUGGUACAAAUAACAACAAUCUUAACAAUAAGUAUUAUUAGGUGACCAAAAGUAUGUAGAAGGAAGGGUCUUAUUUUGACUUGCAUGACUUUUAUGUCUUGAAAAAAGUUCUUUGGCUGAAUAAAAAGGGAGUUCUUUCCCUUCCUUUCCAAUAUUGCUUGCAUAAAUCAAACGCAAAGAAAAAUAAAAUGCAGAAACGGAAGCUAGAUAUAAUUAAUUACAUACGUACCUUGACAAGUUUGAAGAAGAUAGGGAUUUCCUACAAAGCCUUCUCGGCAGAAACAAUAAAGCGCUGAGCGAUUGUUGGAAUCAAAAGUGUAGAUAUUGCAGAAGGGUACAUCGCUAUAACUAUAAUAAUUAUAAAAAUAAGAAUCCAAAUUCUCUGUAACGUGGCUUCCAAAUAAUGCGAAUGAAGAAGUAGAGUUGAUUAUAUUCCAUUCUAGCACCACAGGAACGUGACUUCUUCUCUUGACUGCAUGAGCAGAAGAUCUAUCAAACCAAUCCUUGUCAACCAGAAACGCAUAGUUGUCGCAAUCCGCGUUUCGAUUUUCGCCUUUGUAUAGAAUGGAAAGGCUCAUCAUAGUGAGAUAUGGAGGAAUGGUAGUCUGACAACAGUUGAUACCAAUAUCACAGUAAGCAGAGCUUUGAUUAUAACAAACUGACCUGCAGCCACCCACCACAAAAUCAGCUGAUUCCAUCGUGGCAAGGAAGCCGCAACUAACCGCAGUGAAUCUGUUUUUGUCCUGAGAGUAGACGAAAGGGCUGUCCGUCAAAUUAGCCAUUUUGCUACUUCCAUUUCCGUUGCAAAAAAAGGUAACGGGGCUGUUCACUUCAAGCGUGCCCAACAUAGCCUCAAGCGUGCCUCCAAUAGAAAUAUUCAGCACCUCCAGUUGGGCUCGCUUCAAAAAAGGCUUAGAAGACUGGUUGCUGCACUCGAUUUCAAACCAGUCGUCUAAGUAGCAAUCUGUGCCUCCAAUUCCAAAAGGGUAGGGGAUCAAGACGCCUCCGCAUUUCUCUUUGCAGCCCGGCUUCGCUUUCGGAUAAUAAACUUCUUGUGCUGCAGCUGCUGCACAUGUAUGUAUGAUCAACAACACGAGGAAUAUUAAUAAUAAAAUCAUCAUAUGAAGUGCUUGCGAUUGCAUUGUUCCUAUGCUCGGAUAAUAAAAAGUAAAAGAUUAUCAACCAAAAGUUUUCUUUGCCACAUAGUGCUUGUACUAUAUAUAAUAUUAAAAGACCCCUUGUCAAUCGAAGAAAAGUGGGUUCGAAUUGAAGGCUACUUUUCUUUUUGUAAUGCGAGUGGAAAUUGUAUAUGACUAGUAGUUGAGAAUAUUCUAGUGUUUCCUUCUCUUCCUAGCUAUCCACCAAAAAAAAAAAAAAGUUGACUUGACUUGAGUCAUUCACAAAAGGAAAUGAAUUAUUGUGGCCAUAACGAAAUUAAAAAUAAAGUAUUCUUAUUUUGUCUUUUUCAAGUACAUAAAAAUGCUGUGAAAUCAAGUCAAUGAUUACAUAGAGCUCGGCAAACGUAACAUUAACUAACUAAACAAUAAUAUUUUGAAAGGUCAUGCAACACAAGAGAAACAGAGUUUUAUUUGGUUUUAUUUUCACAAGCGAAGCCAGAAAAUUGGUUCCACAAGGUGAUAGUCUAAAAUCUUCUAACGUCUUGUCUAAAGAUUUUCUCGAGUGAUUUAGUCAUAAUUAAUUUUUAUAUAUCGGAUGAUUUAUGUUUAAAUGGCAAUCAUUCUGUUUCGCUAAUUAGCCACUAUGAUCUUCUUGAUUGAAACUACUGUCACAUUCUGAUCGGAAAAGUUGACUUGAGAUAUGGAACAUGCAUUACAAUAUUACAAUUAAGAAAUUUUUAAUUAUUGUUCAGCGUGACAUGAAAGGUAAUAGUGGAACUGCAUUUAAAGUUUUUUCUAACAUUUGAAACCUCUCCGGCUCUGCAGGUGAUCUCUCUCAUUCUGAAAUUGGUACUUAGGUAACAAGGGGUAAAUUUAAAAUAUAUUCAACUAAGAACACAACAAACUUCACACACUCUAGACCUUGACCAAAUACUCUUAUGACUAGUCAACUAUCAGAUAUGAAUUAUACCAAACAAUAACAUACACAGAGCAUACCAAGAUGUACCUGCAAGCCUAGAGAAUUACUAGUGACAACCUAGGCACUCAAAAGGACCGGUCAGUCUAGGCAUCCCCUGUGCUAGCAACAACUAUGGUGAAAGUGUGUGAAGACAGCAUAAUCAAGCAACCACCAAACAACAAAAAAUGAUGACUAGUUAACCGCAAAACACAAACCUAGAAAACACAUGAACAUCAUGCGAUGACUAGUCAACUAUAAAGAACACAAACCCAGAAAAUUUAUAGGGAUGGAAACUAGAAAUUGUUCACCCAGAAACCCAUCAUUGGGAAAAACUGGGGGUCAUCAAUCGACUAGGCAAUCCACUAAGCAAAAAGAUUCAUACAAAGGAACACUAGCAAGCUCAAGAAAUUCCUAGGUCUAUUUAGGAAGAUGAGCUUUACCUCCUUUGUGCAAUCUUCUUCGCUAACUUAGCAAAACUUGAAGCUCAGUUCUUCAUGGCAAUGACAACUCCUUAUCCAACUCUUUCAUCUCAUAGCACUAGCUUGCAAGCUCUAACUCAGACAGAAACCAAACAUUGGAUCUAAAGGAAGAAUGAUCAUUUUCUUCAAGAAACCAUACUCUUAAAGAAAUCAAUCUUGAAUCUGACCUAGAUAUAUAUGAGAGAGUGUUUGAUCUAGCAAAAUGAGGUUUUCAUAUUUCAAAUGCAGUUUUCAAAAGGAAACAUUUUGAAAAACUCAAAGAUGAAAAAUAUGAAGGUUACACUUGAGGAAGAAGAGAAAGUUUGUAAAGAAACUUUCCAAAACUUGCCUACAAAAGUGACGGCUGCCAAAUGAGGAAUGCAUGUGUUUUUACCCAAAAAUUCCUAGGUUAGAAUCGUACAAGGCAGUAGAGGAUUUCGCAGAAUAUGACAAAACAAUAGGUAGGAUGCAAUUGAAAACAGUGACCUGGAAAACCUUACUAACGCAAAGGUUGACUAGUCAUAUGGAAGAAGGAUGACUAGUCAUAUGGAGGAUGACUAGUCAUACGGAGAAAGGAUGACUAGUCAUAAUCUUCAGGAAUAGGUUAAUGCAAUGUAAUGCAAUGCAAAACUUACCUUUGUCAAAUACAAUGUUGUCCAUCAUAAUGUAACCAGAUAAGAACACCUAGAGAUGAAAUUCUUAAUCUAAACUUGAAUUGAAACACCUAGAGAUAAGAACACAUUGUAGUACGCUUCAUUCCACUCAAAUUCAAACACCUCCUUGCAAGGUUAGCAACUGUGAUGAUAUCUAGUUUAGACCAUGUGGGAACAUAAAGUUUGGCAUCCAAUCACAAGGUGAAAUGUGGAUAGUGGAAUAUUCCUUAUUUCAAAUAAUUUAGCUAAUUAAAUCUGAUUUAAUUAGCCAAUUAUCCUGAUUUAAUUAGCCAAUUUUUCUUGAUUUACGAUAGGAAUAUCUCCUCCAAAUCAAGGAUCCGAUUUCCAACAAAUCUCCUUUAUAUUAUCUUAUUAUUUAAGGAAAAGAAUAAUUCUCUUCCAUAUAUUGAUAGAGGGAGCUUCGGUUGAGGGUUCUCUCAAUUAGGCUAAUUUGAGGGACACUCUUAUAGGAUCCGCUCCGUAUUUUAUUUCAUUAAUCCAAACCAUCUAUUUUGUAGAUAUUCAUUCAAAUAUCAUCUCUAUAAAAAAAUCAUUUGAAUUCGAUAUCAUUUGACCACUUAAUUGAAUUAUUGAAAUUUUAGUACUUUCUUGAAGCACCGUAUUCAUUGAUUUUGUAUGAUACAAUUGGAUGUCGAAACGGUUUCCGAAUUGUCUAAUUUUUUGCAAAGAUGAUUUAUGAAUGUAGACUUAAAAAUAGAUAGUUUGGAACGUUGAAACAAAAAUUGUAGUGGAUCCCUCAAUAAAAAGGAACAUAUAUAUAUAUAUAUAUGUCAAAGCAUAAUUUACCACAUAUGUCAAACUGUAAUUUGCAGAGGAGUAUGUCCUUUUUGGAAAAUAGGCAAACAAUAUCCAUAUGUGAUUGAAUUCGUGUGAAAAGUCUCCCUACUCGACUAAGUUUUCUUUGCAACUUACUUAGUGCGUGUACUGUAUAAUGAAGACCCCCUUUGUCCAUCGAAGAAAAGGAACAAACACUAGUGGUGGGUUGGAAUGGAAAUUGUAUAUGACUGGUAGUUGAAAAUCCAAGUGUUUCCUUCUCAUUAUUUCUAGCUACCCCAAAUUUUUAAAAAAAAGAAAAAAAAAAAACAAAAGUUGACUAGCUACUUGAUUUGAGUGACUCAUGCAGUGCAUGCUCGGUUAAUUAUUGUGGCCAUAACAAGACGAAUCACCAUGUGUUGAGUUGACUUGAGAGGUCAUUGUCCAAAAAUAAAUUGAAAUUGAAAAGUAUUAUUUAAUUAUUAAUUUUUCUUCUGUCUUUUUUGUUUGUUUGUUUUUUUUUUUGGGUUUCAAGUACACACAACUCCUUUAGACGUAUCAAGAGAGGAAAACUCUCUUAACUAAGCAAUCCAAAAUAUCAGAAAAAUAUCUCUGAGAACCAAGUCUGAGUUUUAGACCUCUGAGUUCAGACAAAAAAAAAAGGACCUCUGAUCUUGCAUAAAAUCCAACACAAGAAACAGAGCUAGAAAAUUUCCUUACAGAUAAGGUGAUAGUCUAAAAGAUGAUUCCAAGUCCAAAAACCGAGAAUAUAUAAUUACAACAAAUAUAUUGUUCACUGUGUAUUGAAAAACAAUAGUGGUUGUACAUCGAAUGAAGAACCUGUACCGCCAUCCGUACAAGGACCUGUUGAUGAAGAAACAACAUCCCAAACCUCAUUUAUUUCCUGAGUUUGGACACAUCGGACCUCUGGGAAAACUUGUUGAACAUCAGUCUCAGCUCUAACUGACAAUUGAAUUCCCUCCAACUCCACUGCUACUUCUUUCAUAGUAGGACGAUUCCUUCCAUUCAAAUUCAAGCAUCUAACAGCAAGGUUAGCAACUGCUGUAAUCUUUUCCUUUCUACCAUCCUUCAUAACUUGAGAAUCAAGAAUAUCAAAUAGAAGAUUAUUCUCCAUGGAAAGCAGGAAAUAAGUUGCUAGACUUCUGCUUUCUUGUGACCUCAUCAAAGAAACUGGUUUUUGUCCAGUCAAGAGCUCAGCAAGGACCACGCCAAAGCUAUAAACGUCACUCUUCUCUGUAAACUGGCUUGAUUGGAAGUACUCCGGGUCCAGAUAACCAAACGUUCCAUGUACUAGUGUAGUAAGGUGCGUUUGAUCAAUGGAAACUGAUCUUGAAGUCCCAAAGUCAGCUACUUUUGCUCUGUACUUUUCAUCCAAGAGUAUAUUAGAAGACUUGAUGUCUCGGUGGUAAAUGGGAAAGGAAGCAGCUGAGUGUAAGUAGGAAAGAGCUCCUGCGACUUCAAUGGCAAUUCGUAAGCGCAUUUCCCAUGUAAGACAAAACUCCUCAUUUGGGUGAUGAAUAUACUGAGAAAGCGUUCCAUUGAGUAUGAAUUCAUAAACCAAAAGGGGGACUUCAGUCUCUAAACAACAACCCAAUAGUUUAACAACAUUUCUGUGAAUAAUUUGUGAAAGAAUGACAAUUUCAUUAAUAAAUUGUCCGACUUCUCCUCCAUCAACUAUUUUUGACUUCUUGACAGCAACAAUUCUUCCAUCUGACAGCAUUCCCUUGUAAACAGUACCUUGACCUCCUUGACCAAGAAUUCUAUCUAUACUGAACUUGUCUGUGGCUUUGUCUAAAUCCUUUGAACUGAACAACUUAAUUUUCUCAACAUUAACUUCACCAGAAGAUAAUUGCUUCUCCAACAAUAAACCUCCAUUUUGUUUAAAAAACUUUUGCUUGCGUUUGAUAUCCUUCCUCUUCUUUAUAACUUUGUGCGACCACCAAGCUCCAAUGAGUAGAAACAAGAGUCCAAUCACACCGCCAGCAACUGAGUACUCAAUAAGAUACAAAUAUUGAUAACGUGAUCAAGAAGAUUUUUUUUUUUUUUUUUUUGUGUGACAAAUAUGUCUAUAAUUUCAAAUUUUCCACCAAAGGGCCCAAAGUUUAAUUUAUUAAAGUGCAUUGGCAUACCUAAAAUGCCCACGUUAAUCCGUAGUAUUUGUCGAUCCGGCUGGUAGCAUACAAAGUGCCCUGGAAGAUUGAUACAAGUGCCCGGACCACAUCUAUAUUGGUUGUCACAUUCGUUGAUAUCUGGAAUAUAUAAUGACAAGUGGAAAAUGGGGGAAAAAAUAGAAGAAAGAAGGGAUGGUUAAUUAUAAAUGGUAUCUACAAAAUCAAUCAAGGAAAUCCAAAUGAAUAUCCAUAGCUCAUACAGUUGUACUCAUCGUUUACCUUCGUUGGUUGAAGAAUUUAAUUAAUUACAAACAAUAAAAAUUAGGGUAACGUACAGAUCAGUACUGAAAAAAGGAAUUCUCAUAAUUUGAGCAUGACUUUUGAUUUGGACAUAUACAAUGGUAGGCUUGCGUACCUUGACAUCCAUCAAGAAGAUAGGGGUUUCCUUGAUAGCCCUUUUUGCAAGAACAUUGCCGAAAAAUGUUGCAGUUCAUGUUUUGAUGGGAAAAGUUAUAUGUUCCAUAUAUAUGCUGUUCAGAAUAUUGAUUCAACUGAUAUUCCAGCACUACAGGGACGCUGUCCAUGUCCACAAUGGUAGAGAUAUUUGUUGACAUAAACCAAUCGUGGUCUACCAUGAAGGCAUACUUGCAUUCCAUUUCACUGUCACUACCGUUAAUUAGCACUGCUGCAAAACUAGUAUUGAAGAAUGAAAGACCAUCCAAAAUGGUGGUCUGGCAGCAGCGCAAACCACUACAGCUAUUAUUUUGAAAGAUAGUACUAGUACUGUGAGUAAUAUUAUCACAAAUGGAAUAGCACCCACCAAGUGGGCUCCCCUGAUCUGUCAUCAAGGCAAUUACAUCACAACCGAUUGAAGUGAAUCUGUUGCUCUUGGAAAACACAAAAGGGCUUCCAAGCAAGUUGGGUGCCUGGCGGUCGCUCUUCUUGUUAUCGCAAUUAGAGAAGGUGAUUGCGCUUGUGACUGUAAGUGUGCCUCCAAGAGAAAUUUCCAGCACCUCUAACCCAGUCCGGUUCAAGAAAGCCUUCGGAGGGCUGGCUGAGUUGUUGCAUAUUAUUUGGAACCAGUCGUCCAGGUAACAACCUGCUCCAAUUCCGAAAGGAUAUGGGAUUUGAGUGAUGUUUCCGCAUUGCGACAAACAAUUUGGUUUUGCCAAGGAUGCUUCUGAUGCUACUGCUAGUAGUGCAUUACUCAUAGACCACAAGAACAGAGUGAUAUGAAGUAGCAACUGGCCAACCAUUAUGUUUCUUCUUCCUUCUCUUUAAUUACCAAUCUGCCUGCGUAGUAGGAAGCUUGGAAUUAGAAUUUAGCUAGCAAAGCAAAAUGCUCAUUCUUGAGCCUAAGCUUUCUCUCGGAUAAUAUUAAAAGAAAAUAAGGAAGGGGCAGAGUAGUACUGUUACAAGUCAAGUCCACUAACUACGACAAAUUAUUCAGGUUUACCAUUUCUUCUUCAGAAGAAAAAACAAACACACUGGAGCAAGAAGUUUGAGGUGAACUUUCUUUGCAAUGUGUUUGGGAGCUUUAUUACACCUAAAAUGGACCCCACAAAAUGACAAAUCAUACUUUUUAUAAAUCAUUUACUAACUCUUGUAUAUUUCUUUGCUUUGUCUAUUGACCAACUUGUAGAGUAUCUCACACGGAAGGAUCGAUGGAAAAGUUAGCUUAAAAGCUUAAGAGAUGUAGGGCCUCUUCGCACAUGACCAAUUAGUUUAGGGUUUAAUGCUCAUACUCUAUGCCCUACAUAAAGGAUUAGUAGAAUUGAAGGGAAUCUAUUGUUGUCUAGGAUUUAUGUUAUGAUAGCUGUGUGGAAAAAGUAAACCUAAGCAGCCAGACUUGACCGUAAUCAAUUCUACUAAUCCUCUAUGUAGUGCAUAGGGAUUUCUGUUAUCUUGUGUGGAUAAGAAAUGCUUUUGCAGAAUCAUUUUGCAUAUUAUCAUGCAGUUCUCUCUUUCUUCUUUGUUUCCAAGUUGUUGUUUGCCAAGAUGUCCAACUCAACAUAUGUGAUGAGAAGAAAAUGACGCAAUUGAAAAGUAAAAGAUUCUCAAACAAAAAAUUUCUUUGCAACUGUCUUCACGAUGGAAACAAAUUGAAGGAACUUUUCUUUUGGUAAAGUGUGUGGAAAUUGUAUGUGUAGAGCUGUCAUGAUUGUCUGUCUGAUAUGUCUGGUGAUAGAGAAUUCAAUUAGGAAUUGAAUUCCUGAUUUUGGAGAAAUUCAAUUCUUGAGUGGGAGGUGGUAUUUUAAUUUUUGGAGAACUAAACCAUUAGGCUUUUUUACCCAUUAUAUCCUCACGCAAUUUAAAAUUUUCCAAACUUGCCAACUACUUUAACCCAACAACGAGGACAUUUUAGUAAUUAGCACAACUCCUACCUCAAUUCCAUAUGGUUUAGUGAACAACUUUAAUAGGAAUCCGGAAUUUAAUUCUCCGCAAUCCAACUCCUCCUCAAUUCAAUUCAUUCUUAAUUCAAUUCCUCCUAAUCUAAUUACAGAUUAGUAAACAUGUCAUUAGUCUAUAUGGAGGAAGGACUUGGAACACUAGGAAACAAAAUUGAGUUUUAAAUUGUCAUCUGUAACUAGGAGCUAGGGAAAGAAAAAAAAAGCGUGUUAUAUUAAAACAAAUAUUUGUUCAGUGUCUUGGACAGCAAUUCUAGUAGGAACUUGACAAAUCUUCCUCUGCCAGGAUAAAACUUAAAAACAAAAAAACAAGAGUGAUAAUUAAGGAUCAUAGUCCGUCCUUGCUUCACUGCCAUCUCAACUGCUUUAGUUUACGAUCAUAGUCGACUUAAUGAUGGAAUUAAAAAGUAAUAGAUUAUAAAGCAAAAGUUUUCUUUGCAACUUAGUGCGUGUACUGUAUAAUGAAGACCCCCCUUGUCCAUCGACGAAAAGGAACAAACACUAGUGGUGGGUUGGAAUGGAAAUUGUAUAUGACUGGUAGUUGAAAAUCCAAGUGUUUCCUUCUCAUUAUUUCUUCUAGCUACCCACAAAUUUUUUUAAAAAAUAAGUUGACUAGCUACUUGAUUUGAGUCACCCAUGCAGUGCAUGCUCAGUUAAUUAUUGUGGCCAUAACAAGACGAAUCACCAUUUGUUGAGUUGAGAGGUCGUUGUCCAAAAAUAAAUUAAAAUUGAAAAUAUUAUUUAAUUAUUAAUUUUUCUUCUGUCGUUUUUUUUUGGGUUUCAAGUACACACAACUCCUUUAGAUGUAUCAAGAGAGGAAAACUCUCUUAAUUAAGAAAACUAAGCAAUCCAAAAUAUCAGAAAAAUUAUCUCUGAGAACCAAGUCUGAGUUUUAGACCUCUGAGUUCAGACCCAAAAAGAAAGACCUCUAGUUCAUCUUGUUUCCAUUAUUCUCUUCUCUGAUCUUGCAUAAAAUCCAACACAAGAAACAGAGCUAGAAAAUUUCCUUACAGAUAAGGUGAUAGUCUAAAAGAUGAUUCCAAGUCCAAAAACCGAGAAUAUAUAAUUACAACAAAUAUAUUGUUCACUGUGUAUUGAAAAACAAUAGUGGCUGUACAUCGAAUGAAGAACCUGUACCGCCAUCCGUACAAGGACCUGUUGAUGAAGAAACAACAUCGCAAAUUUUUUAAAAAAAUCUGGUCGGUUCGGUUCUGAUCAGUUCCGAUUUUAAAUUUUUUUAAUUUUUUUUUAAAAUAAAAAUUAUAAUAAAUAAGUUAUUUUUUUGGCUUAAAAUUAACAAAUGACCCAAUUCAUACAAUGAUAAAUUUUUUGAAGUUGAAUUUGGAAAAAUAUUAAUUAUAAAAUUUAAAAUAUAGAAUUGGAUUUUUAAAUUUUGUAAUUAAAAAAAAAAAUACAACCUGUUCGGUUUGGUGUAGUGUAAAACCGAAACUGGUUGGAACCGGUUCCGGUCUGGUUUGUUGACUUUUUUGGUCAACCAAUUUUUUUCCCCCUUUUUUUUCACCGGUCUGGUUCAGUGUUCCGGUUUUCCAAUCCGGAUGCCCACCCCUAACGAACAACUUCCCAGUGAGUCACCUAUCAUGGGAUUGCUCUAGUCCCAACUCGCUCAACUUCGGAGUUCCCAUAACUCCGAAGUCAAUGAGCUCCCAAAAGGCCUUGUGUUAUAUGGAGGCGGACAUGUACAUAUAAGGCACAUCACCCCAUCUCCGUUGGUCGAUAUGGGAUGUUACAACUGCAGCCAGGUUUUCUUUAGUCACAUUGGCCUGAUUGUACCUUUUCCAACAUAUGAUAUGAUCCUCUUUAAAAAGACCAAUUGAGCCUGAAGAUUGGGCAAAGGGAUAUAGAACACAAAAGGAGGGAUAAGAGAGAAAGAAGGGGAGGGAAGGGAGGAGAGGUUGGCUUGUGGUGAAGAGGUACAGUGUUGCAGCCGGUGCUGUGAGGUUGGUUGGGCCAUAGGUGGUUGUUGUGGUUGAGUGGCUGUUUUUUAUUAUUAAUUAUUAAUUAUUAAUUUUAUUCAGACUUUUUUUUUUUUUUUUUGCAAUAUUUCAUUUAGACUUAACAGUGUUAAGUUGGUGUUGGAUGUGUCAUAUCUUAUGUCAUUAGAUUAUUAGAACGAUCAAGAUUUAGUAAAAUACGGGUAACUGCGUAAUAUCCAAAUGCAGAGGCUCGAGAUCCAAAAAGGUAUAUUAUUUGUAAUUAAAAAAAAUAGGCACAUGGUUUAUUAAAAAAUAGGUACGUUAUUAAAAAGAUACUUACAUAUGUAGGUCCAAAAAACAGGUACGUUAUUUAUUUAAAAAAAAUAGGUAGAUUAUUUAUAUAAAAAAAUAGGUAUAGUAUAUGUUUUUGAGGAAAAUAAAAAUUAAAUUUUGUUUGCCAAUACAACAAAAAUCUGAAAUUAAUACAUAUUUUGUUGGUCAGGACUUUUGUUUGAGUUGAUUUUUGUGGAAAAAGUACGCUAUGAUGGAAUAAAAGAAUGAUAUUUUUGGUGGUGGGUACGGUUAUGUGGAAGUAAUAAUGGGUAAGAGAAGAAACUUGUUCUCUUGUGAUAAUCAAAAGCAGAAAGUAGUGGGAAAAGUAGUGGGACACUAUUUUAGAUAUGAUAAUGUUCCUUCUUUGAUUGAUGCAAAUGAAGAGAAAAGGGUGGCUUUAUAUAAUAGCCACUACCCACCUAACACAUUAAAGCCACUACCCACCUAACACAUUAAAUACACAACUAACACCAAACAUAGUUAAUUCAACUAACUUCUACCACACCAUUAAUUUAACACACAACUACCAACAAACUGCCAACUAUUUCAAAGUUACCAGCCGACUAUUAAUGAAGUCUAGAUUACUUUAACAUCCCCUCUUAAGCUAGACUUAAUUUACGCCAAUUAAUUUUCUCAUCUUGAUGAGCAGCUCCUUCUUCAACGGUUUGGUGAACAAAUCUGCCAGCUGAUCUUGGGACUUGCAAUACAGAACCUUAACUUCUUUAUCUUUGAUUAGCUCUCUGAUGAAAUGGAACUUGAUCUUGAUAUGCUUACUCUUGCUGUGAAACAUUGGAUUUUUGGAAAGACAAAUAGCUGAUUUGUUGUCGCAGAACAGCUUUGUAGGUCUUUCUUGAACUUGACCCAUCUCUUCUAAAAUACUUUUCAGCCACCUGGCUUUACAACCUUGAGAGUUCUUCUUGGUGUAAAGAGUAUGCUCAUAUGGGCAUUUGUGAAACCCAUACUCUUGGAAGAAUGCAUCAAUCCGACUGUACCAAGCUCUUGGAGCUUGUUUCAAACCAUAUAAAGCCUUCUUCAAUCUACACACUUUUGUUUCUUCAUUUCCCUGCACAUAACCUGGAGGUUGAGCAACAUACACUUCUUCUUCCAAGAACGCUGAUUUAACGUCCAUUUGAAAGACUUUCCAACAAUUUUGGGCAGCAAGAGCUAACACCAUUCGGAUGGUGUCAAAGCGUGCAACUGGAGCAAAAACUUCAUUGUAAUCAAUUCCAUAAUUUUGCUUGUAGCCUUUAGCUACCAAGCGAGCUUUGUAUUUCUCAACUUCUCCUUGAGCAUUCAGCUUGGUCUUAUACACCCAUUUUACUCCUAUAGGCUUCUUUCCUUGAGGAAGAUCAACCAGCUCUCAUGUGUCAUUUUUCUUAAUGGAAUCAAUUUCUUGAUCCAUAGCCUUCACCCAUUUUUCAUCCUUUGAAGUCUCUUCAAACAUAAUUGGGUCUGCAUCUACAAAUAGAGCAAAAUUUGUGCCACCAUUAGUGAUCAAAACAUAAUCACUAGAUGGGUACCUUGUGGAUGGUUGAUGAGCUCUUGUUGAUCUCCUUUGUCCUCUGCAAAUUUCUUCUUCCUCACUGCUAUCACUAGAAGAAGUUGAUGAUGACCCUUGUGAUGAAGAUUCCUGUGAUGAUGAAGUUGUUGGUGGAGUUAAAUCUGGAUUUUCAAGGCCAAUGUCCAACAGUAUUGGACUUUGAUUUUCAGCUUCACUCCAAUUCCAUGCUUCUUCUUCAUUGAACUUGACAUCACGACUAACAAUAAUCUUGUUAGUCAAUGGAUUAAACAACUUAUAUGCCUUGGCCUUUUCACUAUACCCAACAAGAAUGCACUUUUCUGAUUUGUCAUCCAAUUUUCUCCUUGUUUCAUCAGGAAUAUGAGAAUAAGCAAUGCUGCCAAAUAUCCUUAAGUGACUAAUACAUGGCUUGAGGCCACUCCAAGCUUCUUGAGGAGUCGUGCCUUCCACACUAUUGGACGAUGUACAGUUCAAGAGAUAUACAGCACAUGCCACUGCUUCUGCCCAAAAACGAUUAGGCAUUGCUUUUGCCUUCAACAUGCUUCUUGCCAAUUCCAUAAUGGUCCUAUUUUUUCUCUCGGCCACACCAUUUUGCUGUGGGGUGUACCGAGCUGUGAACUGAUGCUUAAUCCCAUUUUCUUUUAGAAAAUUUUCGAACACAUUGGAUGAGAAUUCUCCACCUUGAUCAGACCGCAAGGUUUUCAAUGCAAAUCCACUUUGCUUCUCAGCCAAAGCUUUGAAAACUUUAAAGUAAUCAAACACCUCUGAUUUAUAUUUGAGAAAAUAGACCCAUGUAUUUCUGCUAUAAUCAUCAAUGAAUGUAAGAAAGUAGCGGUUACCUCCUGUUGAUGUUGUGUUCAUGGGCCCGCAUACAUCUGAGUGCACCAGCUCAAGAGGAUGGGAUGCUCUCCAAGAAUUUCCUGUAAGAAACGAAUUUCUCUGAUGUUUUCCCAGCACACAUGCUUCACAAACUUGUGUUUGAUGCUGUAUCGUUGGUAGGCCUCGUACCAUAUGUUGUUUCCCCAUCAAUGAUAGUGUAUUGAAACUCAAAUGCCCAUAGCGUAGAUGCCACAACCAUGAGGAAUCCUUGAUAAGUGCACUUAAGCAAGCAAAAGAUUCAUACUUUAUGUUCAGAGAAAACAUAUUGUCUCCUGACAUCUGCACCUUUGUAAUUAGAGAGUUGUACUUGUCUCUAAUUACACACUGGUCUUCCCUGAACUGAAUAUUAUGGCCUUUACGAAGAAGUUGCCCUACACUAAGGAGAUUGUAAUUUAAAUCUGGAACAUAUAACACAUCAGAGAUUCUUUUUUGUUCUCCAGACUUGGACAGAAAAAGAAUAUCUCCACAUCCUUUGGCCACUAGCUUUCCACCAUCACCAAUCCUUACUUCUGAGUUGUUGGUAUGCUUGAAAUUGACAAAGGCACUUUUGUUGCCUGUCAUGUGAUUACUACAUCGGCUAUCAAGAUACCAUUUUUUUGCACACACGUUUCCUUCCCUGGCAGCUGCAUAUGCAAGUAGAACCACAUUAUCAUUUUCCCUUUCAGAAGCUUUUUCAUGCACAAAGCUUGAUUCGGCUCCUCCAUUUGUUUUGUUUUUGCAUGUUGACUUGAUGUGCCCAUAUUGCUUGCAAUUGUAGCACUGAAUAUUAGAAAGAGAGGAACCUUGUUCUCUUCCUCUUCCUCUUGAAUAACCACCAUAAUCUCCUUUUCCUCUUGGAAAACCAUAAUCUCCUCUUCCUCUUUGAUAACCAUAAUCCCGUCUUCCAUAAUCUCCUCUUCCUCUUGAAUAACCAUAAUCUCGUGCAGAGCCUUCAUCAUUAGUUUCUUUCUGGUCAUUUGCAUAGCCACAUCCUUGAUUAUUUCUUCCUCGUCCACGAGCAAAGCCGCCUCCUCCUCUUCUAGAACUUCCUCUGAAUGAGACUUGAGAUUGAAAAGCUUGCUCAACAGGGCCAGAGUCAAACUGCUUCAGUCGUAACUCAUGGGAUUGAAGAGAACCCAUUAAACUGUCAAGAGACAGAGUAGACAGAUCUUUGGAUUCUUCAAUUGCCACCACAAUAUAUUCAAACUUUCGAGACAUACUUCGAAGAAUUUUUUCAGCAACUCUCUGAUCUUCAAUUUUUUCUCCAUUAAUUCUCAGUUGGUUGACUAGAGAAAUGACACGAUUGAAAUAGUCUUCAACAGAUUCUGACUCCUUCAUACGUAACAUAUCAAACUCACCUCUUAGAGUUUGCAGUCUUGCCAUCUUCACUUUUUCUUCUCCUUUAUAUGAUGCAAAGAGAGUGUCCCACGCCUGUUUUGAUGUAGUGCAUGAUGAGAUUCUUUCAAAGAUAGCUUCAUCCACUGCUUGAAAGAUAAAGAAUAAAGCCUUUUUGUCCUUCUUACGUGUCUCCUUCAGCUCUGUGAGUUGUUGUUGAGUGAGGACUGCUUGAUCAUUUGGCUCCACAAAGCCAUUUUCAACCACCUCCCACAAAUCUUGAGCAGCUUACAACACCUUCAUUUAGAUGCUCCAUUGACUAUAAUUCUUCCCUGUAAACUUUGGAAGCUGGGGCUGUAACAAGUUGUUGUUUGAAGCCAUAUGAUUCUGAGUUUCCAGCUCUGAUACCACUUUGAUGGAAUAAAAGAAUGAUAUUUUUGGUGGUGGGUACGGUUAUGUAGAAGUAAUAAUGGGUAUGAGAAGAAACUUGUUCUCUUGUGAUAAUCAAAAGCAGAAAGUAAUGGGACACUAUUUUAGAUAUGAUAAUGUUCCUUCCUUGAUUGAUGCAAAUGAAGAGAAAAGGGUGGCUUUAUAUAAUAGCCACUACCCACCUAACACAUUAAAGCCACUACCCACCUAACACAUUAAAUACACAACUAACACCAAACAUAGUUAAUUCAACUAACUUCUACCACACCAUUAAUUUAACACACAACUACCAACAAACUGCCAACUAUUUCAAAGUUACCAGCCGACUAUUAAUGAAGUCUAGAUUACUUUAACACGCUAAAGCAGGCAGACUUGAACCAUUUUGACCCAUUUUGACCAAGUUGGCCGAAUACACACAAAGCUCCGAAGCUUGCAGCGGAAAUUAGAUGACAUCCAAAGUAGAAGUUAUUCUCCAGUAGUUGAGUUUCAACAUAAAAAUAUAUGUAGGGAAAUGGAUGUGUUACUGGAAAGAGAAGAAAUGAUGUGGAGGCAGAGAUCGCGGGUCUCAUGGAUGAAAUAUGGGGACAAAAACACUAGAUUUUUCCAUGAACAUGCAAAAAUGCGGGGACGGCAGAAUAUGAUUAAGGCUAUUGUAGAUGAUCAGGGGAUUUGGCGUACAUCUACUGAAAGUGUUGGCAUUGUUUUCUGUGAUUAUUUUCAAGGCUUGUUUGCUUCCAAUGGACUACAUGAGGCCGGGGCAGUCACUGAGGUGGUUAAGCCGAUACUCACUCCAUCUCAAAUUUUGCGCCUCAAUCAAGUUUUCUUAAGGGAGGAAAUCGAAACUUCUCUGGGUCAAAUGUUUCCUACCAAGUUUCCAGGAGUGGAUGGUAUGUCGGCAUUGUUUUAUCAGAAGUAUUGAGGGGUGGUAGGUGAUGACGUGGUUGGGUUCUGCCUUAAUGUCUUGAAUGGGGGUGCCAGUGUAAAAGAAAUUAAUCACACACUUUUGACGCUCAUUCCUAAGGUAGACAAACCAACAAAAGUUACUGAGUUUCGGCUGAUUAGUUUGUCUACGGUGAUCUACAAGAUGAUUUCCAAGACUAUAGUUAACAGGUUGAAGCCUAUUAUGCCUCUUAUCAUCUCUGAGUUCCAGAGCACGUUUGUCCCUACAAGGCUAAUUACGGAUAACAUUAUUGCUGCUUUUGAAAGCAUACAUGCUAUUAAACGGCGUGGUGGGAGUAAGCUGAAGAAAAUGGUGUUAAAGCUUGAUAUGUCUAAAACUUAUGACAGAGUGGAAUGGACCUUUAUUGAGGCUAUGCUUAAGCGCUUGGGCUUUAACGACAAAUGGGUGGAACUAAUCAUGGAUUGUAUAUCCACUGUUACAUACUCUGUCCAAGUUCGGGGGGUGGCUUCGGGAAUGAUUGUGCCAUCAAGGGGGCUGCGCCAAGGAGAUCCUCUUGUAAAAUAAUAUCUCGUAUAUUUUUGUGUGUUUGCAAUACAGAAUAAGGCCAAUAUAUAAAACCAACAAGACUACCUAAGGAAGGUAAUUUAAAUCCUAAGUUAAGGGCACUAAUUUGUACAAGCCUUAACAGAGAAGUUGACUAUUCCUAUACAAGGUAACAAAUAAUAUAUUUUGUAAUCUUUCCAUAUCUUCAAUAUUCCCCCUCAAGCUGGAGUAUGGAGAUCAAGAAUACCCAGCUUGUUUUUGAGUCGUUGGAAUUGAUCUUUACCUAAAGACUUGGUAAAGACAUCUGCGAGUUGCUCCUUUGAAGGAAUAUAGGCAGUACGUAAAGAACCAUUUUGAAUCUUCUCUCGAACAACAUGACAAUCGAUCUCAAUAUGUUUGGUGCGCUCAUGAUAUACUGGAUUAGCUGCUAUGUAUAAAGCAGCUUGGUUGUCACAAUAAAGUAAGCUUGGUGUGGUGUGUGACAGACCAAGAUCAUAAAGUAAAUAUCGUAACCAUUGGAGUUCACAAGUUGCCAUAGCCAUCGCUCUAUAUUCUGCUUCAGCUGAUGAGCGUGAUACAGUAUCUUGCUUCUUUGUUUUCCAUGAGAUAGGACUUUCUCCAAGAAGUACAAAGUAACCUGUAGUCGACCUCCUUGUCAUUGGACAGCUAGCCCAAUUAGAAUCACAGUAGGCUCUCAAUUGAAAAUUAUUAGAAGAUGAUAACAGAAUCCCUUGCCCUGGAGUCCCUUUCAAAUAAUGUAAUAAUCGAUCUGCAGCAUCUUUAUGAGUUGUACGGGGGCUUUGCAUGAAUUGGCUCAAAAUAUGAACUGUAUGAACAAUGUCUGGCCUGGUGAUGGUGAGAUAUAUCAAGCGACCCACCAAUCUUCUAUAGGUUUCUGGAUUAUGUAAUAGUUCUCCAUCUUCAUUGUUUAACUUGAGAUUUUGUUCCAUGGGGAAGAAAGUAGGACGUGAACCAAUAAGACCUGAGCCUUUCAAAAUGUCAAGUGCAUACUUCCGUUGGCUCAAAUACAAUCCCUUUGAAGAACGAGACACUUCUAUCCCAAGGAAGUAUUUUAAAUCACCAAGGUCUUUUAAAUGAAAACGUUGGUGCAACAAAUUCUUGAUAAUUGAUAUAGUAGCAACAUCGGUACCUGUAAUAAUAAUAUCGUCAACAUAUACAAGCAAGAAAAUUGAUGACUUACCUUUGUGACGAUAGAAAAGGGAGUAAUCUGCUUUAGAUUGAGAAAAUCCCGCAUCAAGUAAUGUUUUGGAGAAUUUUGCAAACCAACACCGAGAAGCUUGCUUUAAUCCAUAAAGUGAUUUGUUAAGACGGCACACCAUGUUUCCCCCCUUGCCGUGAUAACCUUGAGGGAGCUGCAUGUAAACCUCUUCAUGUAAAUCACCAUGAAGAAAGGCAUUGUUGACGUCUAAUUGUUGAAGACACCAACCCUUGGCAGCGGCCAAAGAUAAUAAAACACGAACAGUGGUAAGCUUGGCAACAGGAGAAAAAGUUUCAUGAUAAUCAAUCCCUUCCAUUUGCGUAUAUCCCUUGGCGACGAGGCGAGCUUUGCAUCGUUCAAUAGUGCCAUUAGAAUGCCGUUUUAUUUUAUAGACCCACUUGCAGCCAAUGGCUUUUUUAUGAGCAGGCAAGGCCAUGAGGGUCCAUGUAUGAUUAGCUUCCAAGGCAACAAGUUCACUUUGCAUAGCUUUACGCCAUUCAGGAUAUUUAGUAGCUUCAUCAAAAGUGUUAGGCUCAACAAUGGUAGUAAUAGAAGCAAGAAAACUUUGAUGUUUAAUAGAGAAUUUGUCAUAAGAUAAAUAAUGGGAUAAAGGGUACCUGGUGCCAUGUUGACCUGAAGUCGAAGAGGUUGCUUGAGAUUGGUAGCAGUGAUAAUCAUUAAGGUAACCAGGUGGUUUGCGACUACGAGGAGGAGGAGAUGAGGGAGGUGCUAUAAUGGUAGAGGAAGUAUUAGAAUUUGUGAUGGCUGGUGUAGGUGUUUCGGUAGGAGAUGGAGGCAAAAGAGAUGGGAGAGAAGAAAGUAUGUUGGUUGGUGGAGAAGAAGGUAUGUUGGUGGGUGGAGUAGAGGGAGACGUGUUAGUGUCUGGAGUGGCUUGUGUUUCUGGGUUAGAUAAAUCUGGUGAGGUAAGUGGAUGAGCGGAAGCUAAAGGAAGGUAGGAAUGUUCAAAAUCUGUUGCAGGAAUGGGUAAAACACCAGGUAAAGUGUGGUUAUUUUGUGAUAAAUUAUAAGGAAAAAUAGUUUCGUAAAAAGUGACAUCUCUAGAAGUGUAAAUUUUCUUUGUUUCAAGAUCAUAUAUUUUAUAAGCCUUUUGAAAAGGUGGAUAACCAAUAAAGAUACCUGGUUUUGCUCGUUUAUCAAAUUUAUGAGAAUGGGGAGACAAGUUAUGACCAUAACAAAGACAACCAAAAAUUCGUAGGUGGGUAUAAGAUGGUUCUUUGUUGAAAAGAAUUUCAUAAGGUGUUUUCCCAUGUAAGAUUUUGGUGGGUAAACGAUUAAUUAGAUAAGCAGCAGUAAGAACACAAUCACCCCAAAAAGAAACAGGUAAAUUUGAUUGAAAACGAAGGGAACGAGCAAUAUUUAAAAGAUGACGAUGUUUUCUUUCGACGACACCAUUUUGUUGUGGUGUUGCCACACAACUAUGUUGAUGAAUGACACCAAGUGAAGAAAAAUAUUGGUUCAAUUUGUGAUUAAAAAAUUCAGUUCCAUUGUCAGUACGAACUUGACGAAUAGAACAAUUAAAUUGUGUUUUGACCAUAGCAAAAAAAUAUGGUAAGUAGGUAUUAACUUCUGAUUUAUGCUGCAUUAAAUAAAGCCAAGUACUACGAGAAAAAUCAUCAACUAUGGUUAAAAAAUAUUUAGCACCAGAAAUUGAAGAAACAGAAUAAGGUCCCCAAACAUCACAAUGUAUUAAAUCGAAGCAAGCAUUUGUUGAUAUAGUGCUUAAAGGAAAAGAAAGCCGACAAUGUUUAGCCAAAGGGCAAAUAGUGCAAGCAUGAUUAUUAUCAAAAGAAAUUUUUGAAUUCAAACUUUGUAAAUAAGGAAGAGUACACUUGGAUGGAUGUCCUAAGCGCCAGUGCCACUGACUAAAAUUUGGGGAAGAGACAGCGGAAUUAGCAAUGGAAGGCACAUCAGGGGCUAGGUAAUAAAGACCACCACGUUCCUUGCCCUUACCAAUCAACCUCUUCGAACUCAAGUCCUGCAAAACACAAUGAUCAGAAUAAAAGGUAAUGGAGCAAUUAAGUAGUUUAGUGAUUUUGCUAACAGACAAAAGAUUGAAUCGAAAAUCGGGGACUAGCAAAACAUUUUUUAGAGGCAAGGAUGGUAAAGGUGUGGCAAAGCCAAUAUGAGUGAUGUUGGAUGUUUGUCCUGUUGGCAAUUUGAUGGGUGCGGUGUUAAGUGUGGUCAUGCUUUCUAAAAAAUUAGCAUUGGAAACCAUAUGAUCUGUGGCACCGGAAUCGAUGAUCCAAGAACCAAUAUUGAAUGAUGAAUUAAAACAUAAUGGGUUACCUACCAGAUUGGCUACUGAAUUAUUUUUACCAUAGGGUAACAAGGCAAUAAGCUGACUAUAUUGUUCUGAAGUCAGCGAUGGUGCAGCCAAUGUGUUGGUGGUCAUAGCAGCAAAGGAACCAGUAGAAGCAGUACUUGAAGAAGAAUACAUGUUCUUCUUUUGACAAUGAGAUUCAGUGUGCCCUGCAACAUCACAAAACUUACAAAGCAUAUAAGAUUUUAUGUCAGGAUUUUUCCGGCAGCAUGAUUGAGAGUGACCAUCAAGUUUGCAAAAAUUGCAAUGAUAAAAAGGCUUCUGAGAUGAUGAUUGAUUGGCAGCCAUGACUGACUGGUCAAGCGAUAUAGUGAUUGUACGGUGAAGAGAGGCUUGAAAGCAGGUUUAAGGUUUUAACAGAGACCAGUGUAGGCUCUGAUACCAUGUAAAAUAAUAUCUCGUAUAUUUUUGUGUGUUUGCAAUACAGAAUAAGGCCAAUAUAUAAAACCAACAAGACUACCUAAGGAAGGUAAUUUAAAUCCUAAGUUAAGGGCACUAAUUUGUACAAGCCUUAACAGAGAAGUUGACUAUUCCUAUACAAGGUAACAAAUAAUAUAUUUUGUAAUCUUUCCAUAUCUUCAAUACCUCUCUCUCCAUAUCUGUUUUUAAUCUGUGCGGAGGGACUGUCUGCUUUGCUUUCUAACGCACUCAGAAUCAAGCGUAUCAGCGGCAUUUCCGUGGCUCAGGGAGCACCUACUAUUUCUCAUUUAUUUUUUUGCAGAUGAUAGUCUACUUUUUUGUAAUGCCCAUCUAGCUGAUUGUGCUCAUUUGCUUCAGAUUCUCAGCAUGUAUGAAAGAGCAUCUGGUCAGAAAAUUAAUUUUGAUAAGUCGGCAGCAUGUUUUAGCCCCAACACUAAUCCAGUGAUGAAGCAACUGAUUUCUGAAAUGCUUGGAAUGCGAAUUGUUACAUGUCAUGAACGCUACCUUGGUUUUGUAAGAGUAUCAGUGAUGAUGAUAUUGCCAAGUGUCAAUAGAUCAAUGAGUAAGCUGUUAGAAUGUGGUUAGAGUUGUUAGCAAAGUGAGUAGCCAGCUAAGACUGUAGUUAGGCUGAUAUAAAGAUUGUAAUGUGCUCAGUUAGAGCUUAACAAAAUACAGAAACCUACAAUUCCUUCUCUAAAAUUCUCUUUGCUUCUACAGUUUCUUUACUCUGUUCUUCAGUUUCUCUUCAUCUUAACAUGGUAUCAUUCGCCAUGGAUCGAUCCUAAUAUUUUGUUCUUCUGCUUCCGCUCUCUCUUCCUCUUUGUUUUCUCUCUCUGGCUUCUUUCUCUACUCAAACACAGCAACCAAUUUCGUGUUCUUUCUUCUGCCUAUUACCUGUUUGAUGUUUUGUCUCACUGAAAAUUCUUCUUCAAUAUUUCUUUUUCAGAUAAUUUCUUCUUUCUCAACCCUAAAUUCUUUUCUUUUCUUCUUGGAUUCUCCACGUGGUGACUACUACUCAACUUCAGAUUCUCCAAUCUCCGAUUACCUCUUUCAUUCCUACUGUUUCUACCUCUGUCACUACCUAUGUUUCUUCAUGAAUUUCUCCUCUACUCCUCUUUCUUGAAUUUUAUUCUUUCUAGCAAGUUUAAAGAAUAGUUUUGCCUAUCGGCUAUUUGCUAAAUUGCUCCAGUGAAAUCCUAGUCUUGAUUUUCUCCAAAAUUGACCUUUCAAAUUAUUCUUCUUGCUCUCUUCAACUUGUGCUCGUUAUUUCUGCUCAAAUCUUGAAAUCUAGCACAAUUACAAUUGACUCUUACUUAGAAGUAAGGCAUGAUGGUGAAAUUGGAUUGGGAACCUUACAUUCCUCUGUUUUUCUGCUUCCUCUGACAUUUGAGUUGCAAUUCUUGCACUUAUGGUUAAAGAACAAUCAUUUCUAGCCCACGACUGAUAUUGAGCUAAGGUUUGCCUACCUUAGCUCAAUGCUGCAAAUCCCGGAUGUUUAAUCAUGUGCAAGACCAAGUGUGGCGAAAGCUCAAUACUUGGGAUACGAAGUUGCUGUCUACGGCGGGCAAGGAAGUCUUAAUUAAGGUGGUUGUUCAGGCACUACCUACUUAUACAAUGGGAGUAUUUAAAUUGCCACAAUCUUUGUGCCAGGAAUUGUCUGCUAUGAUUGCAAGGUAUUGGUGGGGGAGGAGUGGCAGGAAAGGAAUUCAUUGGUUGAGUUGGAGGAAAUUGUGUAAGCCAAAAUGUUUGGGAGGCCUUGGCUUCAGAAACUUUGAAGCUUUUAAUAAAGCCAUGGCAGCAAAACAGGCUUGGCGUAUUUUAGAGAAACCCACCUCUCUGGUGGCUAAGCUACUUAAAGCCCUUUUUUUUCCGCAUGGUGAUUUUAUGCAAGCUAGUUUGGGAACCUCACCGUCAAUGAUAUGGAAAUCUAUUUUGUGGGGUCGUCAGGUUAUUGAGGAUGGUCUGAUUUGGAGGGUGGGCAAUGGAGCUUCUAUCCGUGUUUUCCAAGAUAGGUGGAUUCCAAAACCAUUUACUUUCAAGCCGUUGUUGGCUAGAGGGCUGGAUUGGAAUACUACAGUCUCUAACCUUCUAACUGCUUCUGGUUCAUGGGAUUUACCACUGUUAGAGCAACAUUUUAGCUUGGAAGAUCAAGAUAUUAUUUCUGGCAUCGCCUUGGUAUCAGUCUCACAGCGGGGGGAUAGCAAAUAUUGGUUUUUCUCAAAGAACAGGAAAUAUACCAUUAAUACUGGGUAUUGUGUGGCGGUAAUGAGGAUUUUGGAGUGGGGGGAUCGGAUCAGAGUGCUCAGGAAGGUUUUUGGAUGCGAAUUUGGAAGCUUGCAGUCCCCAACAAAAUUAAAAUGCGAAUUUGGAGGGCAAGUUCUGAAAUUCUACCAACUGCAGCCAAUUUAUUUAAGAGAAGGGUGCUUACAUCUCAUGUGUGCUCAAGGUGUGGGAAAUAUCCUGAAGAUGCCUACCACGCUCUGUGGUGUUGUAAAAUGAGUCAAAUUUUUUGGAAGUGUACCUAUUUUAUCCGGCGAAUUACUAUGGCGGUUGGCACUUUUGCUAAUGUUUUUGAGGCUGUGGCUUCAAUGAUGUCGAAAGCUGACUUAGAGUGCUUUGCUUGUUGUGUGUGGAGUGCAUGGAAGCUACGUAAUGACUCUUUGCAUGGGAAACAGAUUACACGGUUGGAUAACAUGGUGGAAAACACGAUGGAAAGGCUGGCAGUGUUCAAAUCUUGUGAGGAGCGGUCCAAGCUCCCCUUCGUACCUCAACAGGUCCAUUGGUUGAAACCACGGGUAAAUACUUUUACUCUUAACUGUGAUGGGGCUGUGGGUCGUGGGCAAAGUGGUAGGGGUCUGGGGGGCUGCUGUAGUGAUCAUGACGGAAACUUUAUAUGUGGGUUUGCUUCUUUUGGUCCACCUGGUCUAGAUGUUUUGGGCACUGAGUUGGUGGCUGUCCGGGAAGGUUUAUUGAUGAUGGGAUACAUGGGUUUUACUCGGUUUACCAUUGGUCUUGAUUCUCAAGAAGCUAUUUAUUCUCAACGAUGGGUUGGAUUGGUGGAGUAAUAUUGGUAAUGUGGUGGAGGAUGUUCGUCGGUUAAUGGUUGAUCGAGAGGUGGCUGGAGUGUUCUAUCAACACCGGAAAGGCAAUGGGGUGGCACAUGGCCUAGCCCAGCAUGGAUUGAGAGCGAGGUCUCGACAUUUCUGGACAGACAAUGUUCCUCCUUGGCUAAGCAUUCGGUUAGAUAAUGAUAGAACUAUGGCGUAGAUCUUUGUUUGCAUUUUUGAGUUGCGGUGGUACUCUUUUUCCUUGACCGGAUUUUCCUCCAUUAGGGGUUUUUUAUGGCAAUGUUUUAAUAAGGCCACACUAACGCUCUCCGUUCGUUUGUAAACUUUUAUUGUUUGUCUAGUGCUAGUGAUGAAUGAAAUUUUCUAUUUGAUCAAAAAAAAGUUGGAAUAAGUAAAUAAAAUUUUCAUGACAUGACACAUGUGUCCCUAGUAUUAUUGAUAAGCUUUUUAUGCCGAAUAUGUAGAAAAUCUUAAGACUACGUAGUGUUAGUAUGGCAUUUUUUGAAUAACAUUUCUAUUGUUUCUUUUUCCUAACACCACAACCGACUUUUUAUUUUAUUUUUAUAUAUGUUUGAAUAAAUAUAAAAGAAAAGGACAGAGGGUGGUUGAUCUGAUUAUUGGUUGUGUUGUGUUCAAAGAAAGUUCCUUUCGCACCUUCCAGCUGCUUGGUUCUCUGCAUUUCUAAUACAAGAUUAGUCCAAGAAUUAUCUCCAACAUUGUAUUCCAAAACAUUCCAUUCAGGUUUGCACAUAUGUAUGGUCUAGCAGCCAUACUUGAUAAAUUAAACAUGUAAGGUGACUUGAUGAUGGAAGGCAGUCAGUCAUUCUGUGAAUAGCCAAAGUUAAAAUCAGCGCUGCAAAAUAUGAAUGAAACAUUUCAAAGAAGAAAAUUCAUCACCCCUUGAAAGCAUCUUAGGAAAAUUUUCUUUUGGUUUUUAGAACAAUCUUAUAAUUAAUCGUUACUUGAAAAAUUCAUUGCUCCUUGCAUGGUGUUGGAUUGCGUCACCGAGAUCAAAGAGUUCUGUUAGGCUCAUCCCGUCAGUCUGUGCAGAAAGGACUUGGAAAACUAGGAAAUCAAAUUUGAGUUUAAAUUGUCAUAUAUAACCAAGAGCUACAAAAGAAAAAAUGUGUCUCAUAUAAAAACAAGUUUUUGUUCAGUGUCCUGGAAAGCAAUUUCUCUUAGGAAGGAACUGGACAACAAUUGCUCCUCUCUCUCUUUAGUUACCGAUUUGAUCUCUAGUUGGAAGCUUGGAAUAUUAUUUAGCAAAUUAAAUGUUCAUUCUUAAGUCUGAACCUCCUCUCUCUCUUUUUUUUUUUUUCCCAACACAGUGACUGUCUAAGAGGGAAAUAAACUAACACCUUAACCUAAACAAAUGGCCUGAGCUCUCCACUCUGUCAUAGUCCUCCUAUACUGACCCACAUGUGUAAGAGGCAAUUUCACAAACAGGUUACCCUAAACAACUAAACUCAACAAAAAUCCAUCCUCACCAUUAACAAGAAGCAGAACAUGAAACAUCAGUGCACCGUCUCCAAGAGUGGGGUCGCCGGAGUUUUGUCUGGUCAAUGUGGCUAUCGUUACACUUUCUCAAUUAACAUUUUUGUGCAAGGUUAGCAACUGCCACAAUCUCUUAUUUCCUGCCAUUGUUUGAGCAUCGAGAAUCAGACUUCCACCCAUAAAAGAAACUGUUUCUUGUCCAGUCAAGAAAUCAACAAAGGACCACCCCAGACCUAUAAACGUCACUCCUUCUCAAUGAACAAAGGAAAACAGAAGGUGACUUUAUUUUAGACCAUGAUUUUAUAAUGCAGUACUAGUCGCCCUCAUAAUUUUCAAAUUUAAAUCAGGCUUACAAAAUAUCGGUCAAAGAAACAAUAUAAGUUGCUAGGUUCUCAACUUUGUUAAUAUCCGUGCUUAAAAAGAUUGUUCUUUACAUGAUGUGGGAUUUCAUGAGUGUAUGGAGAAAGCUUUAGCUCACUAAGAAAAACUACAUAACAAAAUUUGAGUUUUAAUUUAGGGUUCAAUCAUAUGUGACCGAGAUGUUAAAGUUAAUGUUUAAUCCCUUGUUAUAACUCUCGGACAAAAUGUGCUCGAGCAUAUUUUCUAGUAUAGAAAGAGCUCAAGCUUGUUUUGGUAGAGACUUUGUCUGACGUGUUUUUUGGGAAGCCAAGUUACUUUUGAUAUUAUUAGCUUUUAGAUGUGCGUGAAAAGGGUGAACUACACACAACUCCUUUAGAUGUAUCAGGAGAGGAAAACUCUCUUGAUUAAGAAAACUAAGCAAUCAAAAAUAUCAGAAAAAUAUCUCUGAGAACCACGUCUGAGUGUUAGACCUCUGAGUUCAGACACACCCAAAAAAAAAAAGAAAAAAAAGAAAAAAAGAAAAAAGGGACCUCUAAGUUCAUCUUGUUUCCAUCAUUCACUUCUCUCGUCUUGUAUAAAACCCAACACAACAAACAGAGCUAGAAAAUUUCCUUGCAGAUAAGGUGACAGUCUAAAAGAUGAUUCCAAGUCCAAAAACCGAGAAUAUAUAAUUACAACAAAUAUUUGUUCGCUACUGUGUAUUGAAAAACAAUAUUGGUUGUACAUCGAAUGAAGAACCUGUACCGCCAUCCGUACAAGGACCUGUUGAUGUAGAAACAGCAUCCCAAACCUCAUUUAUUUCCUGAGUUUGGACACAUCGGACCUCUGGGAAAACUUGUUGAACAUCAGAGUCAGCUCUAACUGACAAUUGAAUUCCCUCCAACUCCAUUGCUACUUCUUUCUGUUAGUCUACAACCCAAACAGCCAGAACGAAUGUAACUCAUGCUGCACGUGUCUGUUAGGAUGGUCACGUGUCUGUUAGUUAGGAUGAGCUGGCUAAUGAGCUGGCUGGUUGUUAUUGUUGUUAAUCUGUUCUUAACUUAAUUCACUAGUUAUUUAGCUAGUAGAGAUAUAUAAGUUUAAUUGUAAAACUCUGUAAACAAGUAAAGAUGAGAAAAUCAAUUUGAGAACUCUAUUCUGUUUUGCUUACUCUCUCUCUCUCUCUCUCUCUCUCUCUCUCUCUCAAUACUUCUAGUCUGAGAAGCUUGAUCUGGUUCAUCCAUGGCUUCCAUGAAGAAAGCUUUCAUGGUAUCAGAGCAUUACCUUUACAUAUCGUGACUAAUUUCUCUAUUCCGCUGCUCACUUCUUAGCUCGUAUCUCUCACGCUCGUCUUUUUGAGGUUCUGCUUUCUUCUCAAUUUCUUCAUAUCUUUGUCAUUUUUCUUCAUCUCCAUUUUCGAUUCUUGCCUGUUCCAAUUGGUCUGCCAAUACACUCUCUUGCUUCGUUUCUCCCUGAACACAAUCUGAAUUUCAGAAUUUCUGCACUGGUUGAUUGUGUGCCUAAACCCUAGCUUCUGUUGAAAAUGGGGAAAACCUCUGUUACACCGAUUGAUUUGCUUCAUAAUGCCUCCAAUUAUAUUACUUUGAAACUGGAUGAUACAAAUUAUAUGCAAUGGAGCUAUCAGGUUGCGAAAUUUCUCAAAGUUUAUUGACUUUCUGAGUUUCUUGAUGGCACGGUUAUGGUGCCUACUGAUCCUGAUGGAGAUGAUUAUCUAGACUGGGAAGCAAUGGAUACUGCUAUUUUGAACUUAAUUGCUGCAAGUCUCUCAGAUGAUGCUUUCUCUGAGAUGAUGAAUUGUAAGUCUGCUACGGAGGCCUGGAAUACACUGUGAGAUCAUUAUUCUUCGAUCUCUGAGCUUAAGAUCAUGCAUCUUAAGAAUAAUUUGCAUGGAAUGCAGAAAGGAACUGAUUCUGUGGAGGUCUAUUGGAAGAAGGUUCGUGCAGCUCGACAGCAAUUGUCAACUGCUGGUCAUUCUAUUUCUGAUCAGGAUAUGAUUUUGCUUAUUCUCAAAGGCUUGCUUGUGGAAUACAAUCCCUUCAAAUCUCAUAUCCGUGCUCGACCAGUUCGAGUUACUCUUCCGGAGCUGCGUGAUUUACUGCUCGAAGAAGAAUGUGAUUUGGAUGCUGCUGCUAAGUCCUUUAAUUCUCCAAUCAUGACUACUAUGGUUGCUCAGAAGGGCACCGUAUCCUCAUCACCACCUGUUGCUCACGGUGAUAAUUUUCACUCUGGUUUGGUUGAUCGUGAAGGUGCUAAUCCAAAUUGGCAACCUCCCUGGAAUCGAAGCCCGAAUUAUCGUGGUCGUGGCUCUUGGUCUCGGGGCAGAUCAUGGAAUAAUGGUGGCCGAGGCAAUCCUUGGAAUAAUAAUGGUCCUAACUGGAAUGGUGGUAAUAAUGGUCCUAACUGGAAUGGUUCUACCAAUCAGUGGAAUCACGGUCGUCAGUCUGGAAAUUCCUAUGGUCAAUGGAACCAAAAUUCUGGUUCGUGGAAUAACAAUGCUGGUUUCAACAAUACUGGUCCAUGGCAUCCAGGGGGCAACUCAGGUUCUUCUCCUCAGUAUUUUGUCUCUUCGAAUUCCAGCCCUGGUGUUUUGUCACCUUCCCCUACGACUCCACCAGUUUCAACUGCUGCAUCUUCUCCAGCUACUGAAACAUGUCAAAUCUGUCUCCAGUUUGGUCACACAGCUCCUAAUUGCCCACAUCGCACCAAUUUCUCAUAUCAAGGCACGCCUCCAUCUCCAGCACUUACAGCUCUUACUGCAACUGCUAGUGGCUCAUUCUCAGAUCCCAACAUAUGGCUAACAGACAGUGGUGCUACAAACCAUAUGACAUCCGAUCUUCAGCUGCUCUCCAACAUCACUCCUUCCACUUCCAUGGAUAAUGUUACUAUAGGUAAUGGUACUGGACUUAGGAUUGCUAAUGUUGGUAGUUCCUCUCUUGUCUCUGGUCAUCAAGUCUUUCAUCUACCUGAGGUCUUGCAUGUUCCUAAUCUUGCCACUAAUCUGUUAUUGGUUCAUCAGUUUUGUCUUGAUAAUCACUGCCAGAUUUUAUAUAAUGCAUUGUGGUUCCAAAUCCAGGAUCUGCAGGGGCGAAUUCUGUAUCAAGGACAGUGCCAUAAUGGUCUUUAUCCACUUCCAACAAGGACACCUUCUCUUUUUCCUAGCCUGGCUGCUUUUCAUGGUCACAAAGUGUGCCAUACUCUGUGGCACUAUAGAUUAGGUCAUCCUUCUCAUGAUAUUACUAGUUUUAUGCUAGCCAAGCUCAUAUUCCCAUUUCUCCUAGUUUGCCACAUAUGUGUAGCUUUUGUUUACAAGGCAAGAUGUGUAAACAACCAUUUCCAUCUUCACAUAUUAUGUCUCAAAUCCCUUUUGAAGUGAUACACUCGAAUGUCUAGGGUCCUACUCCCUAUUCCUCUUUGCAUGGUCAUAGGUACUAUGUAAUUUUCCUUGAUGAGUGUACCAACUUCUGUUGGUUAUUUCCAUUAAUGAAGAAAUCUGAUUGUUUCCCUACUUUUGUUCAUUUUCUUGCCUACAUUGAGAAUCAGUUUGCUACUUCCAUUAAGACUUUCCAAUCUGAUGGUGGGGGUGAAUAUGUUAGUAAAGAUUUUCAGACCUAUCUUGGUUCUAAAGGAAUUUUACACCAUAAGUCUUGUCCUUACACCCCUGAGCAAAAUGGAAGAGCUGGAAGGAAACAUCGCCACUUAGUUGAAACUGCUGUUACACUUCUCACUACUGCUGCUCUUCCUUCCAAAUAUCUUUUUCAUGCAUUAUCCACAGCUAACUAUCUCAUUAAUAGGAUGCCAUGCAAGUCUUUAGGUAUGCAAUCUCCUAUUUCUAAGCUGUUCCAUAAAGAACCCAAUAUUACUCUUUUGAAGGUGUUUGGAUGUGCAUGCUAUCCUUUAUUACGACCCUAUUCUCAAUCUAAAGUGCAACCUAGGUCUGAACAAUGUGUCUUUUUGGGGUAUUCUUUAGAAUAUAAAGGUUAUCUUUGUCUAGUACCCAAAAUUGAUCGCAUUUACAUCUCUCGCCAUGUUGUCUUUGAUGAGACUUGUUUUCCUUUUAAGAGUUCUUCCUUUUCCCAGACAGUCCCAAACCACCAGAUUUCACACCACUAGGCCCUUCCCUUUCUCCUAGAUCUUCUCUACAUUCUGCAUGCACUCUUAGACUUGAUGGUUUACCAGAGGCUCCUUCUUCUACUACCCAAUUAGCAAGUCCAGUAUCUAAUGCAAGGGAAGUUGUCUCUUCUGUUGAUGUUAUUGAUUCUUCUACUGAGUUUGUACAGGAUCAGCUACUGCCACUACAGGAUCAGGUACCAACAGAGUCUUCCACUCAGUCAGUCACAUUAUCUUCUUCUCCUGCGCAUGCCUUGGAUAAGUCCCCUUCCCUAGAUCUGAUUGUGGACCUUCCUGCUCCACCUGUUAACUCACAUCCUAUGCAGACUCGCUCCAAGUCUGGAAUUAUCAAGUCUCGUCAUGGUUUCUUGGCUGCCAAGUCCAUAAGUGGCCCUUCUCCUUUCCAUGAACCACAGACUUAUUCUCAGGCUGCCAAGGUUUCAGAAUGGAAUCAUGCUAUGGUUGAUGAGUUUCAGGCUCUUGAAAAGCAGCAUACUUAGACUCUUGUUCCUUAUCAACCCUUCAUGAACAUUGUUGGUUGUAAAUGGGUGUUCAAACUUAAGAAAAAUGCUGAUGGUUCCAUUUCUCGGCACAAGGCUCGGUUGGUUGCCAAAGGGUUUCAUCAAGAGGCUGGUCUUAAUUAUGAUGAAACAUUCAGUCAUGUGGUCAAGCACUCUACAGUUCGAUUGAUCCUUGCUUUAGAUGCUCAAUAUCAUUGGUCCAUUAAACAACUUGACGUGAAGAAUGCUUUUCUUCAUGGUGUACUUCAUGAUGAAGUAUAUAUGCAACCGCCCCCAGGUUUUGAAGAUUCUGCUCAUCCUCAUCAUGUGUGCCGCUUAUUGAAGUCCCUUUAUGGGUUGAAACAAGCUCCUCGGGCUUGGAAUGAGCGUUUCACUACUCACUUGCUCACCCUUGUUUUUAUUCAAUCAUUGGCUGAUACAUCUCUGUUUGUUCGCGUAUCUGGGAGUGAUCUUCUUGUUCUCCUUUUAUAUGUCGAUGAUAUCAUCUUGACUGGGAAUAAUAGUGUCUUGAUUCAGCAGACCAUUACAGCUCUCAGUCGUGAAUUUGAUAUGAAGGAUCUCGACCAAUUAACCUAUUUUCUGGGACUCCAAGUUCAGUAUACUUCCACAGGCAUUCAUGUUAAUCAAUCCAAAUAUGCGACUGAUCUUCUUCUUAAAGCUGGUAUGACUCAAUGCAAGCCUUGUUCUACACCCUGUUUACCUACAGCAAAGUUACUCAAGUUUGAUGGCACCCCUCUCUCGGAUCCUACUCUCUAUAGAAGUCUAGUGGGAGGGCUUCAAUAUCUUACCUUCAGCAGGCCUGAUAUUGCUUUUGCCGUGAACACUCUUUGCCAGUUUAUGCAUACUCCUACAGAUACACAUUUUGCUGCGGUCAAACGUGUGCUGCGCUAUUUGGCUGGUACUCUGACUCAUGGCAUUCAUUUCACCUCUGGUGAUGUUCAUCUGCAAGCCUAUUCUGAUGCAGAUUGGGCAGGUGAUGUCAAUGAUCGUUGGUCCACGACAGGGUAUGUUGUCUUUCUCGGCAAUAAUCUUAUCUCUUGGUGUGCUAAGAAGCAAAACACUGUCUCUCGUUCCUCGACUGAAGCAGAAUACAGGGCUCUUUCAAUCACUUCCGCUGAGUUAUCCUGGCUUCGCCAACUUCUACGUGAUCUUCAUAUCUUUCUUGAUCGUCCCCCUAUUCUUUGGUGUGACAAUAUUUCGGCUUUAGCCCUUGCUAGCAAUCCUGUGUUUCAUGCACACACUAAGCACAUUGAGAUCGACUUCCACUUUAUCCAUGAGCGUGUUACUAGGGGAGAUAUGCUGGUUUCUCAUAUUCCUAGUAGUAAUCAACUGGCUGAUAUAUUCACUAAAGGGCUGCAUACUUCUCAGUUUUCUUAUCUUCGAAACAACCUAAUGCUUAGUCCCCCAAGCAUUAGCUUGAGGGGGGGAUGUUAGUCUACAACCCAAACCGCCAGAAUGAAUGUAACUCAUGCUGCAUGUGUCUGUUAGGAUGGUCGCGUGUCUGUUAGUUAGGAUGAGCUGGCUAAUGAGGUGGCUGGUUGUUAUUGUUGUUAAUCUGUUCUUAACUUAAUUCACUAGUUAGUUAGCUAGUAGAGAUAUAUAAGUCUAAUUGUAAAACUCUGUAAACAAGUAAGAUGAGAAAAUCAGUUUGAGAACUCUAUUCUGUUUUGCUUACUCUCUCCCUCUCUCUCUCUCUCUCUCUCUCUCUCUCUCUCUCUCUCUCUCUCUCUCUCUCUCUCUCUCUCUCUCUCUCAAUACUUCUAGUCUGAGAAGCUUGAUCUGGUUCAUCCAUGGCUUCCAUGAAGAAAGCUUUCAUAGUAGGACGAUUCCUUCCAUUCAAAUUCAAGCAUCUAACAGCAAGGUUAGCAACUGCUGUAAUCUUUUCCUUUCUACCAUCCUUCAUAACUUGAGAAUCAAGAAUAUCAAAUAGAAGAUUAUUCUCCAUGGAAAGCAGGAAAUAAGUUGCUAGACUUCUGCUUUCUUGUGACCUCAUCAAAGAAACUGGUUUUUGUCCAGUCAAGAGCUCAGCAAGGGCCACGCCAAAGCUAUAAACGUCACUCUUCUCUGUAAACUGGCUUGACCGGAAGUACUCCGGGUCCAGAUAACCAAACUUUCCAUAUACUAGUGUAGUAAGGUGCGUUUGAUCAAUGGAAACUGAUCUUGAAGUCCCAAAGUCAGCUACUUUUGCUCUGUACUUUUCAUCCAAUAGUAUAUUAGAAGACUUGAUGUCUCGGGGGUAAAUGGGAAAGGAAGCAGCUGAGUGUAAGUAGGAAAGAGCUCCUGCAACUUCAAUGGCAAUUCGUAAGAGCAUUUCCCAUGUAAGACAAAACUCCUCAUUUGGGUGAUGAAUAUACUGAGAAAGCGUUCCAUUGGGUAUGAAUUGAUAAACCAAAAGGGGGACUUCAGUCUCUAAACAACACCCCAAUAGUUUAACCACAUUUCUGUGAAUAAUUUGGGAAAGAAUGACAAUUUCAUUUAUAAAUUGUCCGACUUCUCCUCCAGCAACUAUUUUAGACUUCUUGACAGCAACAAUUCUUCCAUCUGACAACAUUCCCUUGUAAACAGUACUUUGACCUCCUUGACCAAGAAUUCUAUCUAUGCUGAACUUGUCUGUGGCUUUGUCUAAAUCCUUUGAACUGAACACCUUAAUUUUCUCAACAUUAACUUCACCAGAAGAUAAUUGCUUCUCCAACAAUAAACCUCCAUUUUGUUUUAAAAACUUUUGCUUGCGUUUGAUAUCCUUCCUCUUCUUUAUAACUUUGUGCGACCACCGAGCUCCAAUUAGUAGAAACAAGAGUCCAAUCACACCGCCAGCAACUGAGUAGCUCAAUAAGAUACAAAUAUUGAUAACGUGAUCAAGAAGAUUUUUGUGUGACAAAUGUCUAUGAUGUCAAAUUUUCCACCAAAGGGCCCAAAGUUUAAUUCAUUUUAGAGUUUGAAAGUGCAUUGGCAUACCUAAAAGGGCCACGGGAAUCCGUAGUCUCGGUGGCAUAUCCGUGGAGCAUAAAAGUGCCCUGGAAUAUUUGUACAACUGCCGUGACCACAUAUAUUGGGGUUUUCACAUUCGUUGAUAUCUGAAAUAUAUAAUGACAAGUGGAAAAUGGGGGAAAAAAAGAAGAAAAGAAGGGAUGGUUAAUUAUAAAUGGUACACAACACCGAAGAAUUUCUUCAGGUAUCUACAAAAUCAAUUAAGGAAAUCCAAUUGUACUCAUCGUUUACCUUCGUUGGUUGAAGAAUUUAAUUAAUACUAGAUGAUGUAAAGCGAGAACAAUUACAAACAAUAAAAAUUAGGGUGAUGUACAAAUCAGUACUGAAAAAAGGAGUUCUCAAAAUAAAAAGCAGAGACAGAAGCUAGAUAUAAUUAAUUACAUAUGCACCUUGACAAGUUUCAAGAAGAUAGGGAUUUCCUACAAAGCCUUUUCGGCAGUAACAAGAAAGCGUUGAGCGAUUGGUGUAAACCAAAGGGUAGAUAUUGCAGAAGGAUGCAACUGUAUAAUUAUAAUAAUUAUAAUCAUUAUAAUCAUCAGGAUCAAAAUUAUCUGUAACGUAGUUUCCAAAUAAUGCUCGUGAAGAAGUAGAGUUGAUUAUAUUCCAUUCUAGCACCACAGGAACGUGCAUUAUACUCUUGACAUCAUAAAUAUAAGAUGAUCUCUGAAACCAAUCCUUGUCAACCAGAAACGCAUAGUCGUCACAAUCAGCCUUUCGAGUUUCGCCUUUGUAUAGAAUGGAAGCGCCUAUCAUAAUUAGAUAUGGAGGAAUAGUAGUCUGGCAACAGUUGAUACCAAUAUCGCAGGAAGCAUUAUAGCUUCCAUAAUCACAAACUGACCUGCACCCACCGACCACAAACUCAGCUGAUUCCAUCAUGGCAAGGAAGCCACAACUAACUGCAGUGAAUCUGUUUUUGUCCUGAGAGUAGACGAAAGGGCUGCCCAUCAAAUUAGCCAUUUCGCUACUUCCAUUUCCGUUGCAGAAGAAGGUAACAGGGCUGUUCACCCGAAGCGUGCCUUCAAUAGAAAUACUCAGCACCUCCAGUUGGGCUCGCUUCAAAACAGGCUUGUGAGCAGAGCUGGUAGUUUUAGAAGACUGGUUGCUGCACUCGAUUUCAAACCAGUCGUCUAAGUAGCAAUCUUUGUGUCCAAUUCCAAAAGGGUAGGGGAUCAAGACGCCUCCACAUUUCUCUUUGCAGAACGGCUUUGCGUUCGGAUAAUAAACUUCUUGUGCUGCAGCUGCUGCACAUGCAUAUAUAAUCAACAACACGAGGACUAUUAAUAAUAAAAUCAUCAUAUGAACUGCUUGCGAUUGCAUUGUUCCUAUGCUCGGAUAAUAAAAAGUAAAAGAUUAUCAAGCAAAAGUUUUCUUUUCAACUUAGUGCUUGUACUAUAUAUAAUAAAGACCCCUGCUCGAUCGAAGAAAAGUGGGUUCGCAUUGAAGGCUACUUUUCUUUUUGUAAUGUGAGUGGAAGUUGUAUAUGAUUAGUAGUUGAGUAUUCAAGUGGAAAUUGUAUAUGACAUAUUGUACUCACAUUCUAACCUUCUGGAUUGGAAGUUGUAACUGCACUCACAUUCAGACUGGAAAAGUUCAGAAAAAGAGCAAAACGUAAUAUUUAUGGAACAUGCAUUAAAAUAUGAGUGAAUUAUGGUGUGAAAAAUUAAUUAAAAUAAAGUGGCUCAAAGUUGGAAGGAAAUCAUGCAAGAGAUUAAAAUUCCAAUUAAAUAUCAAUUAUGGCGCUAGGAAAAGAAUGAAGGCGUAUCGUUGGGAUUUUGAAGAAUAAGUUAGCUACUAGGAUAUUAUUUCCCUAAUAUGAUUUUUAUUAUAUUCUUAUUAGCUAAGUUUAGGAAUAUUCUAGAACCUAGGGUUUCUUUGUUUUCUAUUUAAGCCAACUUGUGGCAUUGUAUUUGUGAGUUUAUUCACUUAUUUUCAAUCAAUAUAUUUGAGGUUUACUCAAUUUCUCUGGUGGAUUCCAGUUUGUUGGUGGAUUCCGACAUUGGUAUUUGUAGGGUUAACGGUCGAUCUCCCUAUCCCUUAUAUCUCGCUACGUCAGUUGGUAUCAAAGUAGGUUUUGCCUGACUCGAGGUGUCUCCAAUGGCUCAUCCAGAUGAAGAAGAUAGGACCUGUGGAGAUGGGGAACCAAUCACUCUAAAAGAAUUUGAUGGUGCAAGUGUUCCAUACUUCAUGGGGAGUGACUGCAUCGAAGGCUUUCUCCAAUGAGUUGGAGACGUAGAGGAAAUAUUUGAUUCAAUAGCGAUCCCAGAGGAGAAGAUGGUAAAAGUUCUUGCGUCCCGUUUAGAAGACGAUGUUGCUUCUUGGUGGGAUCAAUUGUGAAAAUCUAGGAAGCAACAAGGUAAAAAUCCUAUCAGUGCUUGGCGUUGGAUGAAGAGACUUCUUGUGAAAAAAUUCUUUCCUUUUGAAUAUGAUAUAUAUUUGUUAAGGAAUGGUUACAAGAUUGCUCAACCCAAUAUCAUGGUGAGUUAAGAAAAGAUGGAGGAAGAUCUCGAAGAGGAAGAUCUCGAAAAGGAAGAUCCAAUAAUCCACAAGAUGGAGAGAUUCAAGAAAAACAAGAUAUUGAGCCUAUUGAAACUCAUGUUGUUGUUGAAAUAGAUAUUUCAAAAGAUGAAGAACAACAAUUGGAUUCCUCUGAAAUUCGAGGUAUGGAUAAAUCCAAAUUUGGAGAGGAAAAUAAUUCAUACAAGAAGUUUGAUUCUCAACUGGCAUAUUCUAAUCUUGUUUAUAGAAUUAAUUAUAUGAUUAUUCCAUCCAAAUAUGAGCAAGUCCAAACACCACAAAUUGAAGAGCUUAUCUACACAACAAAUUCUAUGUCUACUCAGGUUCAUUCUAACGAGAACUCGAGGUCGAGUUCUUUACAAGUGAAGGGUCUGAUGUAGGACGAAAUAUGGUUCUAUUAUGGUGUGAAAAAUUCAUUAAAAUAAAGUGGCUCAAAGUUGGAAGGAAAUCGUGCAAGAGAGGAAAAUUCCAAUUAAAUGUCAAUUAUGGCGCUAGGAAAAAAAGGAAGGCGUAUCGUUUGGAUUUUCUAAUUGAUUGAGGAAGUUUGAAGCAAUUAUGAUCCUGUCAAGAUUUAUAUUUAAUUUUAUAUUUUGAAGAAUAAGUUAUCUAUUAGGAUAUCACAGUCCCAAUCUCUUGGACUACAGGGGUCCAAGAGAUUUGUGGUCACUCACCGUUGGAUGUAAAUUCAACGGUUUAUUCACUCUUGCACUCCUUUUAGGAAACUUUUUUGAACCGUUGAAUGUUACAUCCAACGGUAGGUGAUCAUAAUCUCUUGGACCCCUGUGGUCCAAGAGAUCGGGACUGUAGGAUAUCAUUUCCCUAUUAUGAUUUUUUUUUUAUUAGCUAAGAGAACCUAAGGUUUCUUACAGUUUUAGGGUUUCUUUGUUUUCUAUUUAAGCCAACUCAUGGCAUUGUAUUUGUGAGUUUAUUCAUCUUAUUUUCAAUCAAUAUAUUUGAGAUUUACUCAAUUUCUCUGGUGGAUUCCAGUUUGUUGGUUGAUUCCGACAUUAUUACUUGUAGGGUUAUCGUUCGAUCUCCCUAUUCCUUAUAUCUCACUGUGUCACUUUUCAACUUGACUUGAAAGGUAAGAGCGGAACUUUUUCAUUUGUUCGAAUUGAAGGCUCCUUUUCUUUUUGUAAUGCGCGUGGAAGUUGUAUAUGACUAGUAGUUGAGAAUAUUCAAGUGUUUCCUUCUCUUCCUAUCUAUCCCAAAAAAAAAAGUAAAAAAAAAGUUGACUUGACUUCAGUCACUCACAAAAGGAAAUGCAGUACAUACUGAGUCAAUUAUUAUGGCCAUAAAGAAAUUAAAAAUGAAAAGUAUUCUUUAAUUGUUUUUUCUUCUUAUUUUGUCGUUUUCAAGUACAUAAAAAUGUUGUGAAAUCAAGUCAAUGAUUACAUAGAGCUCAGCAAACGUAACAUUAACUAACUAAACAAUAAUAUCUUGAAGGGUCAUGCAACACAAGAGAAACAGAUUUUUAUUUGGUUUUAUUUUCACUGUAUAACCUGUUGGACGUUUGCAAACAAAAGGUUCCACAUAAAAUAAAAUAUUUUAUUUUAUUUUAUUUUUUAAAUUUCUUUUAGGAGAAGUUAAAUUCAAACCAAAAGUCUUAUCUUUUUGUUUGAAUUUGAAUAGGCAUAGCUGAUACUAAUUGCUAUUUUGAAGGGUUGCAAUUGUGUUAUAAAACCACAAGUCCUAACCCAUAAUACGAUUAUCUUUUUCAAACUAUCUCAUACUGCUUUAAAAAUUACAUACUGUAUUGGAGAGAGAAUUCAAGGAUUUGAUGCCAGACCUUGAGUUAUAGAUAGUUGAAUCCUAAGAGAUAAUACGCCUGUUGAACUUCAAGCAUUGAGGAUAGGCGAAAUUCUGUCUUUAGGACAUUGAGAAUCUGCAAAUCUCUAUCUUCAAUAAAAGUAUUUUGUAAUCGUGUAUUAAUAUAGUGAUCCUAUAAUAUAAGAUCUUUAUUUAUUUUUCCUGACAUAACCAACACAAGCAAAGCCAGAAAAUAGGUUCCACAAGGUGAUAGUCUAAAAUCUUCUAACGUCUCGUCUAAAGAUUUUCUCGAGUGAUCUAGUCAUAAUUAAUUUUUAUAUAUAUCCGGUGAUUUGUGUUUAUGGCAAUCAUUCAGUUUAGCUAAUCGGCCACUCUGAUCUUCUUGGUUGAAACUGCAGCCAUCACAGUGAGAUAAGGAGGAACGGAAGUCUGACAGCAGCUGAUACCAAUAUCGCAGGAAGCAGAGUUUUGAUGAUCACAAACUUACCUGCAGCCACCAACCACAAACUCUGCUUCCAUCCCGGCAAGGAAGCCGCAGCUAACUGCAGUGAAUCUGUUUUUUUCUAGAGAGUAAACGAAAGGGCUCCCCGUCAAAUCCACCAUUUUGCUACUUCCAUUAUUUCCGUUGCAGAAGAAGGUAACGGGGCUGUUCACCUGAAGCGUGCCUCCAAUAGCCUGAUGCAGGCCUCCAGUAGAAAUAUUCAGCACCUCCAGUUGGGCUCGCUUCAAAACAGGCUUGUAAUGAGGAGCAGAGCUGGUAGUUUUAGAAGACUGGUUGCUGCACUCGAUUUCAAACCAGUCGUCUAAGUAAAGAGAAUAUCACUCCGGUUCAUCCCAGGAAAUCAGUUGAUUUCCCCAAAUCAGACUUGACAGAUUCUUCCUCCCAAGAUCAACGACAUAUUAGCUAGAAUUGAUUCAUAACAUAUAUGAGAUUAUUGUACUUACCAUGUAUUGCUUAUUUCUGUAAAUAGACUUGAGAAAGUCUACUCUCUGUACAUUAUAUACGGCUGCAAUACAGAGACCAAAUACACUGGUUGAUUCAAUUACUCUCCUCCUCUAUCUCUCAUCUCUCUUCUCCCCCCUGAACUCUGUUUCUUAUAUGGUAUCAGAGCUCUUCGGAGCCAAAGCUCACGUUUUUCGAUCCUACCCAAUCAAAUGGCAAACACACCCAAGUCUGGAGAAUCAAGUCAUAUUGAUAUGACAAAACUGAUUUCUGAAAUGUCAAAGCUUGCCUCACCCUCAUUCUCAUUCCCAUCCUUGCCCACCUCUUUCAACAUCUCAUCUCUGUUCCCAAUUCCCAUGGACAGAACCAACUAUUUGAGUUGGAAAUCACAAUUUGAAGACGUAUUGGAGAUGCAUGGCCUUGCAGAGGUCAUCAAGAAAACCACAGACCCACCCAAAGUGCAAGAAGAUGGCUUUGUGCAUCCUGAGUUCGCCAGAGACAAACUGGUCUUGAGUUGGAUCAAGGCGACUUCCUCCUCUUCCAUAAAGAUUCUACUCAUCCCGUGUACCACCGCCUAUCAGGCUUGGAAUCUUCUGGGCAAGCGCCUCUCACCCCUUGCAGGUACCCGUGUGCGAAUCCUUGGAGACCAAAUUCGCACCCUCAGGAAGGACAACACCACAACUGUGACUGACUACCUCAACCAUGCCAAAUCACUUCUUGAUUCCCUCAUACAAGCUGGUGCAACAAUGGAUGAUGAUGAAUUCGUUAGCUAUGUUCUAGACGGACUUGGGCUUGAAUACAAGGAGUUAGCCACCACACUCCACUUGCACCCAGAUAUUGGUUUUGACCAGUUUUAUGAUCUCGCUCUCAGAGAGGAACAAUUACAGAAACGCAUGUCGCUCAACGUGGCCUCAAGUGUUGCUAUGGCUGCUGAUCGAAUGCCCAAUGAGCGAAAACCUCAUUCAAACUCCGCUGGUCGCCAUCACAACCCCUAUCACGGAUCUGGACGAGGACGUGGACGUGGCAGAAAUUGGAUUCAAGGGCACAAUGGGCAAACAGAUCCGUGGAAAUCAACCCAAGGAAAUUGGCCACAAGGACACAACACUCAGCCUCGUGACCCGCAGAUUGCACCAUCUGCCCCUUCUCACGCAACUCUUACAGAUGGCCGACCACCACUCCUUCCAACACCACCUGGAAAUUCUCCAAAUACCCAGCGCUCAGAAGUCAUUUGUUAUCGGUGUGAUAGGCCUAGUCACAUAGCCCGCUUCUGUCCAGAUCGUAAGCCUCAUGCCUACGUGGCUGAAAAUGCUAUCAACCCGUCUCCUUCUACUGAUGAUAUAGCAAACCUCAAUUGGUGUCUUGACUCCGGUGCUACCCAUCACAUGACCGCCCACACCGCUUCUCUACCGCAUGCCCAGCCUUACACAGGUACUGAUACAAUUAUUGUUGGCAAUGGGAACCAGUUAGCAAUAACACAUAUUGGCAAUACUAAAGUGACCGGGUUACAUAAGUCCUUAAACCUUAAUGAAGUGCUAUGCGUACCUGCAAUACGAAAGAAUUUGAUAUCUAUUCGUUGUCUUUGUCGUGAUAAUGAUUGUUUCUUUGAGUUGGAUGCUAAUGGUUUUCAUGUCAAGGACAUCAAGGCGGGGACGAUACUUCUUACUGGCAGUAGUUCUGAUGGGCUUUAUCACAUUCAGGCAACCCCACAUCUUGCUCGUCAACUUGCAUUCUAUGGAGAGCGCACGACACAGGAAGUGUGGCAUGCACGCCUUGGACAUCCAUCUCAUUCAGUUUUUACAACCUUGUUGAAUAAGUACCAUUUACCCGUUAAUGGUACCAUUAUCUCCAAUAAAAAUUGUCAUAUUUGCCCAUUGGGAAAAUCUUGUAGACUGCCUUUUGAAUACAGACAGCUUCAUGCUCAAUCCUCAUUAGCACUUUUACAUCUUGAUGUAUGGGGGCCCGCGCCAGUCCCCUCAAAUUUUGGAUACCAUUAUUAUUUGUCCAUUGUUGAUGACCACACUCGGUUCACUUGGUUAUAUCCUUUGGCUAAGAAGUCCGAUGUCUUUCCUACAUUUAUUACCUUCAAAAAGAUGGUGGAAAAUCGGUUUAGUUCUCAAAUCAAGCAGUUGCAGGUUGAUGGUGGGGGUGAAUUUAUCAACAAAUUAUUCCUCGCAUUUUUACGUGAUCAUGGCAUAUCGCAUCAAAUUUCUUGUCCCUACACUCCCCAACAAAAUGGAGUGGUGGAAAGGAAACAUCGCCAUAUUGUUGCAAUGAGUCUUUGUCUGCUAGCCCAAUCGCGAUUGCCUCUUAGUUUUUGGAUUGAAGCCUUCUCCACUGCAGUUUUUCUGAUCAAUCGCUUACCAACACCGCAGCUUGAUAAUCUGUCUCCCUAUGAGAAGCUCCUUCACCGUUCACCAGACUACAAAUUUCUCAAAAGCUUUGGAUGUGCUUGCUUUCCCCACCUGGUGCCAUACAACAAGCAUAAGUUAUCUUUUAAAUCUCUUCCAUGUGUAUUUCUUGGUUAUGAUGAUCACUAUAAGGGUUAUCGCUGUCUUGAUCCUUUUUCAGGUCGCAUCUAUACGUCUCGGAAUGUGACCUUUGAUGAAACAACCUUCCCUUACAAGCAGCCCCAGCUUCCAUCUCCUUUGCCCUCAAAUGGGAUUCAACCUCUUGCCGACCAGCCCAUAUCUCUUGGGCCCUCUAAUCCUCUGGUCAGCCCUUCUCCCUCAUAUCCCUCAUCUCUUAAUCCCACAGGCCCAUCACUUCCCCCUAUUUCUUCUGACCCUAUUAGCUCCCCCCAUUCCUUCGACACCCCCUUGUUCUCCCCUCUGUCCUCCUCUGUAUCCCCAACAACACUGACCACGAACCCAGCCGAUCCUUCUCUGGUAUCAAACAUCCCCCAUUCGCCGCCUCUUUCCACUGAAACCUCGCCGCCUCUUUCCACAGAACCCUCGCUGCCCAUUUCCACAGAAACCUCGCCGCGCCUUUCCACAGACCCAUCGCCCUCACUUUCCCCAGACCUAUCCUUCGACUCUGACGGAACAACCCCACCCCUUACCCCACCUCCCCCUUCUUCACCUCUUGAUCCAUCGAUUUUCCCUAACUCUCCAGAUACACCCAAUCCUCCACAAAAAUUCAAGAGUCUCCAAACCAUUGUCCCAUUUGGCCCAGAACCCAAACCCCUCUACUCUAAAACCAGCCCUCAUCCCUUACCCCUUGCCCUUUCUGCUGAAGCUUCUGAUCCCCUAUCCCUUGAACCUACCAGCUUUACCCAUGCUUCCAAACACAGCCACUGGCUCGAUGCUAUGCACGAUGAAUAUGCUGCACUCAUGAAGAACCAGACCUGGUCCUUAGUUCCUGCCACCUCCCGCAUGAAUAUUGUGGGGUGCAAGUGGGUCUUCAAAAUUAAACGGAGGGCAGAUGGCUCAAUUGACAGAUACAAGGCUCGUCUUGUUGCCAAGGGAUUCAAUCAGAAGGAAGGCUUUGAUUAUGCGGAAACUUUUAGCCCGGUGGUCAAACCGGCUACCAUUCGCACUAUAUUGUCUCUGGCACUUUCCUACCAUUGGCCUCUUCAACAAUUGGAUGUUCGUAAUGCCUUCUUGAAUGGGUACUUGCAAGAGGAGGUCUACAUGAAACAACCCCCUGGUUUUCAUGAUCCCUCUCACCCUCAGUAUGUUUGUCGGCUCCACAAGGCUCUGUACGGCCUUAAGCAGGCACCUCGAGCUUGGUUCCAACGUCUUAGUGCCUUUCUCCUUGCCCAGCACUUUGUUCACAGUCACUCUGAUGUAUCGCUCUUUAUUCGUCGCUCCUCUUCCUGCACAGUGUAUGUUCUAGUGUAUGUGGAUGACAUCAUUGUUACUGGCUCUCCCUCACCAAGUGUAAACCACUUCAUUGAUCAACUAUGUUCAACUUUUGACAGCCGCCGUAUGGGUGAGCUAAACUUCUUCCUUGGCAUGGAAAUUAAUCGGUUUUCUGACCAUUUAUUUCUCUCUCAGACUCGCUAUGCAGUGGAUUUAUUGACCCGGUUUCAUUUGACUGAAUGCAAACCAUCUCCUACCCCUUUGCCCUCUGACACUCGGCUCUCUUGUCUGGAUGGUGAUCCCUUGCCUGAUCCAUCCACCUAUCGGAGUAUGGUGGGUGGCCUCCAGUAUCUUACCUUGUCCAGACCUGAUAUUUCCUUCGCUGUCAACCAGGUGUGCCAGUUUAUGCACAACCCUCGAACCUCUCAUCUUCAGGUUGUCAAGCGCAUUUUUCGGUACAUUAAAGGCACACUUGAGCAAGGUCUUAUCUUCCAUAAGUCCACUGAUUUUUCCUUACGGAGUUUCUCUGACGCUGAUUGGGCUGGUUCUGUUGAUGAUCGCCGGUCUACUACUGGUGCUUGUGUUUUCCUUGGCCCCAAUCUUCUCACAUGGACUGCCAAGAAACAGUCUACUAUUUCUCGCUCUAGUACUGAAGCUGAAUAUAGAGCUCUUGCACAUACUGCAGCCGAACUUCGCUGGUUUUGUUACUUGUUUCGUGAACUGGGCAUUCCCCUUCGCUCUGCCCCCUGCAUCUAUGUUGACAAUCUCUCUGCUCUCUAUAUGGCUGCCAACCCUAUUUUUCAUGCUCGCACCCGGCAUAUCGAGAUCGACUACCACUUUGUUCGUGAAUUAGUUGCUCGAAAUGCUCUUCGUACCUCCUAUGUUCCUUCCUCUGAUCAGCUUGCUGACAUAUUUACUAAAGGUCUCGGUCGUGAUCGGUUUUCACUUCUAAAAUCCAAGCUUAAUCUCCGCGUUGCUCCGCUACGCUUGAGGGAGGGUAAAGAGAAUAUCACUCCGGUUCAUCCCAGGAAAUCAGUUGAUUUCCCCAAAUCAGACUUGACAGAUUCUUCCUCCCAAGAUCAACGACAUAUUAGCUAGAAUUGAUUCAUAACAUAUAUGAGAUUAUUGUACUUACCAUGUAUUGCUUAUUUCUGUAAAUAGACUUGAGAAAGUCUACUCUCUGUACAUUAUAUACGGCUGCAAUACAGAGACCAAAUACACUGGUUGAUUCAAUUACUCUCCUCCUCUAUCUCUCAUCUCUCUUCUCCCCCCUGAACUCUGUUUCUUAUAAGUAGCAAUCUGUGUGUCCAAUUCCAAAAGGGUAGCGGAUCAAGACGCCUCCGCAUUUCUCUUUGCAGGCCGGGGCUUACUUUCGGAUAAUAAACUUCUUGUGCUGCAGCUGCUGCACAUGUAUAUAAGAUCAACAACACGAGGAAUAUUAAUAACGAAAUCAACAUAUGAACUGCUUGCGAUUGCAUUGUUCCUAUGCUCGGAUAAUAAAAAGUAAGAAAUUAUCAAGCAAAAGUUUUCUUUGCAACUUAAUGCUAACGUCUCGUCUAAAGAUUUUCUCGAGUGAUCUAAUCAUAAUUAAUGUUUAUAUAUCCGGUGAUUAUUGGGGGUAGAUUUUGGAAUGGAGUGGCUGCCUGCAUUUUGGGCAGCUGCUGGGCAGUGAUCCAUGACUUUUAUGAGUGAAGUCCAGCCCAUGACCUUUUUUUUAAAGAAUAAACAGAGCAAGUUACUAUUUGCUUUCAUGUGGCAAGCAAAAGCAUUUUACUUUCUUUCGAAACGAUGUCAUUAAUUCAUCACACAAACUAUCUUUUGUUUUUUAAAGCAUUUACAAUCAUACUCUUUAUUUUUUAUUUAAAAUUUAGCUAAAACAUAAAAAGCGGUAAGUUUUCUUUCGCGACUAUACGUUUCGUCGCGCAAGUUUUUGGCGCCAAUAAAAAUAACCCCGAGUUUUUCCAGCUAACUUUACGCAACGAUAACCAGUACUGUCGCGCUAAGUAAUCAUAAGCGACGAUAUGUGUCGUCGCGCAAGUUUAGCAAUAGUCUGUGCUACACAUGCAUUUUUUGGUCGCGCAAGGAUUUCUUGUGCGACGAAAAUUAUUUGUCACACAAAAUAUCGUUGCGCAAAGGGUAAAACGUAGUAGUGGUACUCACAUUCUGACCGGAAAAGUUCAGAAAAGGAGCAACACAUAACAUAUAUGGAACAUGCAUUACAAUAUUACAAUUAAUGUUCACCAUGACUUGUAAGGUAAUAGCGGAAUUUCAUGUAAUGAUGAAGAAGGACCACCAUCCAAAACUGGGCCUGUUCCCGUUGAACUUGAAGCAACAUCCCAAGGCUCAAUUGAGCCAGUCCUAACAUAUUCAACCUCUUCAUAGUUUUGUCCACCAUUAGAAGUUUUUUUUCUGACAUUUGAAUCCCCUCCAGCUUUGCCGUGACCUCUCUCAUUGUAGGGCGCUUUCUUCCACUCAAAUUCAAACAUCUUCUUGCAAGGUUAGCAACUAAUAUGAUAUCCGCUUUAGACCCUUCUUUUACAACUUCAGCAUCAAGAAUUUCGAACAGGCGAUCUAACUGCAUCGAAGUAAUGAAGUAUGUGGCAAGACUUUUGC